rnacentral:lncRNA from 1 species
UUCUUCUUCUGUAAAUGGUCUUCUGUUGAUUCUAGGGUCAAGUUGAUUAAACCACCUCAAUCUGCAGCUCUUCCCUGUGGAAACAUAUGCAUAAAGAUUAAGCCAUAUGGAUAUGGGGGUAAAUAUUUGCAUAAGUGUAUAUUAUAUAUACUUACACUCUAAAAUUAAAGGGAAAGAGAGGAAGAGAUCAUCCUUUAGUUUAUCAUGAGUUCAUGAUUGUAGAUCAGAAGCAAAUUAAUUAUUAAUCAUGCAUAUCUUCUCCUGUGCUAUUGAAACUUAAGAGACUAUAAUUAAUUAAAAAAGGUUGGUUAAGUAGGUAGAUGAGAAAUAUUUGACAUAUGUGAAGAAAAAUGAAAUCUAAAAAUAUACUAAUCAACAACCUAUAUGAUCACACCAACUCAAUCAUGGCGGAAGAAACAUCUUUUUCUGAUUUAAUCUUAAGUUUUGAAGCAGCUUAUUAAAAUUUUGCAUGCUUCUACAUCAUACUUUUAACAAAUUCCCCUAAAGACUAUAUUUAAAAGAAAGUUAAACCAAGUUAGAGGAUCAAGAAAUAGCUUAUAAAUUAACCAAGACUCUAAUAUAUUCCAACAGUAAUGAAUUAUAAAAUGAUCACCUGAUCUUCCUUGGAGCUUUUCUGCAAUAGAGUUCCAGUUUUGUGCACCAUACUGUUCAACAAGUUGCCUGAGCUUUUCAUCUUCAGCUGGCCUCCAGUGUCCUCUAGGACAAGUCUUGUUGACAUCAUCACUAGAAGCAGCUCCUGAAUCCUCCAUGGAUAUAACUGAUAUAGAUAGAUAUAUGUUAAUCACAAGCUAGCUAUGGGAGAGCUGUAAAAUUAUUUGUCAACAAGCACAACAAAAAGGAAGCCCCCAAGAAGAUAUAUAUAUAAAGGAGGUAGCAAGGAGAAAGGGGGGAAAAUAAUGAAGAGAGAAUAACAAGAAAGUGCGGUUGGUUUAGGGUUGUGGAUGAGAAGUCACUUUUGUUGGUUUUACACGACACAUUAAGCCCUAUAUGUAUGCAUCUGUAGAACCACUGACUGACUUACCCUUUCUUUCAACUGUUAUGCUAUUGGCCCAUGAACCACUCUUUAUAUAUCAAUAUUUUCCCAACUAUGUCUAUCACACACACACACACACACACACAUAUAUUGCUUUCUUAAUUAAUUGCUUCCCUCAAUUUCUCUCUCACUUACAAGUUUAAGCCAUGGUAUUACGUUAAAUCAAGCCUGGUGAUUAGGGCAGCUAGUAGUUUUUAUUAAAGGGACAGCUCUCCUGGUCCAAAUUCAUUAACAAGGGAUCAUGAUUCAUAUUCAUGAUUUAUCACCUUUAAUAUACUUUUAUUUCGUUUUCGAAGGGUGUUUUGUCAUGCAUAUAGUGCAUGGAUGCUGCACCUUCACAUUAUUAAUCAAUACUCACCCUUUUAUUUUUAAUUACCCUGUUAGCAUGAAAAAUUGUCAAGUAUCUUAUUUGUAUAGCUGUGAAUUACAUCAAUUUCAAACUUAGUUAACAUUCGAAACCCCUAAUUAUCAAGAACGAAACUCAACUAAAACAAAAUGCACUGUGGGUUGUUAUGGACAAAAAGAUACCUUAAUGACCAAUAAGUUCACUUGAAGAAAAUGAUCAACUAAUAAUACAUAAAUAAGGGUUAAAGAUUGAAAUUUUCUAUGAAAUUGCAUCUGGAAUCACAUAGUUAAGUUGAAAUCAGUGGGAAAAAAAGGUAGGUAAAAUUGGAAGCUGUCAUAUACCAGAAUCGGGAACAAGAUAAUAAAUUAUGAUAAGCAAGCAUUUUAAAGCAUGCACAUGCAUGCACUAUGCUAAAUCAGAUGAAUAUUCCUAAUAUAGGGAUUUCAUUUGUUUGUUUUUUGACAUGAUUAUUUUUUAUUUCCAGAAAGAGUUGCUCUCUUUGUUAUACCGACUUAAAAUCAGCCAUUUUCAGUUGAAAGACAUCAAGUUUUAAGUAUUUUAACAAUGUUAAGCUAGCUGUCCAAGUAAUUAUAUCUUUUCAGUCUAUAUGAAUGCUUCAAAGUAGACUACGGUCUAAGAAGCAUGGAAUACAGGUAUGAGAUGAUACGGUUCAAGGUUUAACAUAAUUUGGUUUCUGACUUACGAUACAUGUAUUUGACAAAAGUUAUGCAUUUUAAUAUUUAAAGGUAAUAAUGUUAACUUUUUAGUAUUUAAUUUAGAUUUUAGAGUUGAUUUGUUGAAAACUCUUAAUUGGUUAAUUAAAUCAUAUCCAUCAUAUUGUAUUUGACAAAUUAAAUGUAAAAUUAAACAAAUUCACAAUUAGCAUUAAAUUUAUUUUAUUAACAAAAUCAUGAAAACUCCAAACCUAAUAAUAUUAGCAAUUAACUUUUACCAAAUUAAUUCUAAAACUCAAAUUAAACACUAAAAAGUUAACACCAUUACCUUUGGUACCAAUAUAUAUAUAUUUCAAAUAUAAGUAUCAAAUUGGACAAAAAAUAACAUAGGUAUCACAUUAGAAGAAUGUGUCAAACUAGGGUACCAAAUUCUAUAUUAAGGCAAAAUUUAAACAUUAUGUGUGGAUAUGAUCAAUGUGAAGCCAAAAAUCAUUUUAGGAAGUUAAAUUUGAAUUAUAAUUUUUUGGGAGAGCUAAAAUAUAGUUUUACCGUUGUAUUAACUUUGUGUGUGUAUAUAUAUAUAUUAAUUUUACAGAGACCAAAAAAAUUUACAGAGACUUUAAGGCAAUUUUAUCAUUUUGAGGGGCCACCGCCACCACCAAUAUUCCUCUAAGAUAUGCCACCAGGUAUGAUAUAGUAUGAAAAUAAAAAAUAAUUUAUAGAAUAAAAAUGUAAAAAAUAUAUAUAUUUAUGAAAAUUUUAUAUUAAAACCAAGUGAGUCAUUGUUUGAAAUUGUUAACUUAAAAAUUUAGAAUUCAUGUGUUCCAAAUUUAAAUCCCAUUAUAAUAAUAUUUUAUUAAAAAUAUGAAAAAAUAAAAAUACCCUAAUAUUAAUAUAAGUUAUUUUGCAUAUAAAAGGGUAUUUCAACCAUUUUCUAAUUGAGUUGGUACAAGGGCAGCACUAGAGGAGCCCAAGUAGGGGCCAUGGACCCCUAAAAUAGAAAAUUUGUGUUUUAACCCCUCUAAAAUCCAAAAAAUUAUAAAUUAAUACAUGAUAAAAUUAUAUUUUUGAGCUAACAAGGAAAAUAAUACAUUUUGGCUCUCAUAAAAAAUUAAUUUAAUUUUAACUUAAAAUUGAUAUUAAUUUUGGUGUAAAAUUAAGAAAUUUGGAUUGCCAUGUAUUUUGUUAAAUAAAAUUUGGAUUUAUGCAUUGGAAUAAAUUUGUUGAUUGAUGAAAAAGAAAAUAAUCCUUGUUCGUAUGACCAGGUGUGUCUAACAAGACCUAUUCUGGAACCAGCAGUUAGUUUGUUCAACAUUCCUUAAUAUUUUGAUGAUAAUAACAAAUUUAUAUGACAAGACAAAAGAAGCUUACUUCCUGCUUUGUCUUCAUAUAUUAUAUUACUUUUCCCCCAUAGUAAAAAUAGUAUACGUAAUUUCUUCAACAAAGUCCUCCCCGAUGCCUGGCAUUGCACGCUUGUCUUUCUUGUUAUAGCAAUAACAUGUCAAACCAAGCAUAAGUAAUAUUUAAAUAGCAAACUACAGAGACUAUUUCAAUUUUAUGUCGAGGUUCACAAUACUGAUGGAUCCAAAAUAAUUGUGCGCUCAUAAUCUAAACCUUUAAGUUUGUUGUCCAAUGAUGCCUAUAAAGCAAUGAAUAGUUGGGAGAAAAUGACAUAAAUAACAGUUGGGGCAUAAUAAUAAUAAUAAUAAUAAUAAUAAUAAUAAUAAUAAUAAUAAUAAUGUUAGAGAAGAUUAUUGGUGAUGAGGAAAUGUAAUCUUACACACAAGGGUUAAAGCAAAUGCCGUGCAAGGAGGGCAUCAAGAAAAGUAUGGGUAAACCGUCUGCCUUUUUUCAUACUUGCAUGCAGAUGGCAAGUCAAAUACAAACGUUGAAACAUUAUCAUGUUGAAAAUAUAAGUAGCUAUUUUAUAAAGAAAAUUAUUGGCUUUUCUUAACUGAUUGAGAUUUUAUACCCAUGAAAUUAAAACAUCUCAAAUCGCUUCUAAAUCCAUUAACAUCAUCAGGUGUAGUAGAUGUAGAACCCUGACGUUCUUAAUGUAGAAGGUAUGUAAAUUGGUGUCUAAUUCUAAUUCGUUGAUGGUGUUAGUUUAUCUAUACUCCGUAUUCCAUCACACUUGUAUCAUUUAUAAACCAAAAUAGAAAGGAUUAAUAAUGUUCAUUUCAUUAGUUAAUAGAAACCCAAACUCGAUCCCCAAUAACCAAUUACAUGAUCAUGUGCGACUUUGUACACCCCCCCCCCCCAACAUCUCCAUAUUAUUCUAUUUUAAAUUUCAACAUCAUUCAUCUAUCCAUCCAAACUGUUUAAUGCUUAAAGCUCAUUUGAUAUGUUGUUGAACCCUUUGUGAUGACUAUGAGGACGAUGAAUUAGUUUUUGGGUAGGUAGGGGAGGUUGUCGAUCAGGUUUCAUGUACAAAUCAGUAUAAUAAACCCAGAGAUCAAAGUUUUUGGAGUGUAUUGCAAUUUUAGAAAUUUCCUACUGAUAUAGAACAACCUCAAAACCGCCCUCUUUAACUCUUAUGCUUGACUUCAGAUUUGUGUGUAUAUAUAUAGCACAAAUGACCAUUUCGUUGAUGUUUCUUUCUGCCAGUAUAGCAGCUUGAGGGACAUGAUUGAAUGAUGCCAACUGACCGGUGAAUCUCAAAGCAACUUUAAGAAGGAAUGACUUGUAAUAGUAAUGAUUGCAAAAUGAUAUAUUAAUAAAGUCUCUUUGUUAAUGACAUUUAAAGCAAUCUAAUUUUCAAAUAUAAUACUUAUAUAUUUAUAUUUAAUGCACAUCAAUAUAUAAAUUGUUAUACAUCUAUUAGAAUACGACACGUGGUAAGCUAUUGGACAAUUCACAAAGCGAUAACCCUCCACGAGGAAUGGUUCGUAGGUGACCUCCACGAGGAAUAAUUUGCGAGCAAGCCUUCAUGUGGGACGGUUCGUAGACGACUUUGCAUGAACCCUUUCUAAGUCAACCUAGAUACAGUCCGCUACACACCCCUCGCUAGGACCACCAAGGCAUACCUGCCUCAUACGACCUUAAGGAUGGAAAUGAUAGAGCAAGACCACAUAGUACACUCCAUGGCAACAACGAACCUACAACAACACUGCCACCUAGCCAACCCGCACAACCAUGUAGGACACAGUGUUGUCGACUAUGUCUUACUAUAGGACAAGGGGUGACCCCUCUAUAUAAGCCUGAGUGCAUAAAAGGCCAAUGAUCGACUUCUCUCCCUAGUAACCCUUACAUAGCAACCCUAGUGCAUCCUCCUCCUUCCUCAUAACACCGACUCUUCGACAACCACAGAUGAAUCGACACUCUUCUCCACCAUCCUUUCCUCCCUAUUGAUAACUCAUACCAACAUAAAUUUAAAUAUGAUUAAUUACAUGAUGGAUAUUGUUGGGGAUCAACCCGAUUAAGCAACGAACAAGUAAAAAUAGCGGAAGAAAUUGAGAAAUUAAACACACAAAUUGAACGUGAAAAACCCCCUCCAAAGAGGAUAAAAAACCACGGGUAAAGAUAAUUUUACUAUAAUGACAAAAUAACGAAAAGUACAAAAGAUGGAGAUAAAAACUAAACUCCGAAACUCGAAAACAAAGAACCCUUAAAAUGUAAACACAAAAUUCUCCAAAUGUGUUAUGAGUUCUAAUCUCUAAUGGGUGUGAAUUCUAAGGUUGUAAAAGAGCCUAUUUAUAGGCUAAAUUCAUAGGUCAAAUAAUAAUAAAAUAAUCUAGACUAAUCAGAGUUUGAUUGAAACAAAUAAAUAGAGUUUAAUUAGAAGAUUAUUUAUCAAAUUUGACUGAAAUAGGAGUCAUACUCAACAAAUCUCCACAUUGACUCAUAUUUCCACAAUGUCAUCUUCGUCAAAGCCCUCAACGAGCCUAUCUUUAACUAUGCAGGGAAUUAACUGAGUUGAAUCUGUGCUUAGAAACUAGAAGACUUCUAGCCUUCGACUUGUACACUGCCAAAUCAAAACUAACCCAGGUCUGAUUUUCACGAACAUAGUGUCCUAACUUUUCAAAACCUGCACCUAAAAGAGAACCUCUCUUCAACGAAACGAUCAUACCUUUUUCCCUCCUAUGACCAAGUUGCCUCUGCUCUAAACGAGUUGACUUCGACUCCGUAACAAACGAGGGACGUUCGAUUUCACCGGUCACUGUAGAACCUUCUAGAAUAUAAAGACUACCAGUUCUUUUACCUUUUAACAAAAUGAGAGCUCCACGAGAUACUUUAAUGUCGCUCGACUCGAUGUUGAUUUUACAUCCUUUCAAGUCUAAAAUACUCAAGGAGAUGAGAUUCUUUUGUAAAUCAGGUACAUACUUGACAUAUGAGAGUGUCCUAAUCGUCCCAUCGUGCAUUCUAAUUUUAACAGUACCAAUACCAAUUACCUUACUGGAUGAAUCAUUUCUCAUGCACACAACUCCACAUUCAAUUGAACUGUAUGUGGAGAACCAUUCUCUAUUGGGACACAUGUAGAAAGAACAUCCUAAAUCUAGAAUCCACUCAGACGUAAGCUCGGAGCUUUCGCUCGUUGACACUAACAAAAAUCAUCACCGCUUUCGUCGGCCAAAUUAGCAUCAGCUACAUCUUCCCCAUUACUCUCAACAUCUCUUUUGUUUCGCAGUUUAUACCAAUUUGCUUUGACGUGACCUAACUUUUUUACAAUAGCGACACCAUUUGUCUCGCUUCUUUGAUGCUACCAAAACUUAAGCUUGUCUAUCUGCCUUGCCAUCCAAACCAAACUCAUUGUCGAGUUUGUCUCUACUCAACAAAUAACCCUUCACAUCUUCGAACGAGAGUUUGUCUCUGCUAUAAAUCAGGGUCUCCCUAAAAGACUUGUAUGAAGGGGGUAAAGAGCACAAUAAUAGCAUAGUUUGAUCUUUAUCUCAAUCUGAACGUCAACGUUUUUAAAUCAUUUAAAAGAGUAAUGAAUUGACUGAUGUGAUAUCUAAGAAGCUUACAUUCGUUCAUGCGAAACAUAAAUAGACGUUGUUUCAACACUAAACAAUUAGUCAGAGACUUAGUUGCAUAAAGAGUUUCUAACCUUUUCCACAAGGCGGAUGAGGUCUUCUCCAUCAAUACCUCCGGCAAUACCAUAUUUGCGAGGCAUAACUGGAUUGCAGACAAAGUCUUUUCAUCAAGUUCUUCCCAUUCUGUUUGAUUUAGAUUCUCAGGCUUUUUCUUGGUAACAACUUUUUUCAAGUCAGUUUGAACUAAAAUUGUCAUCAUCCGAACUUGCCAUAGAUUGAAAUUUGUCUCACCAUCGAACUUCUCAAAUUCAAACCUUGUUGCUAUCAUCUCUGAACAGACUGAUCUAUAAAAAUUGAACUAGCUCUGAUACCACUUGUUGGGGAUCGACCAGAUUAAGCAAUAAACAAAUAAAAAUAGCAGAAGAAGUUGAAAAAUUGAACACACAAAUUUAACGUGGAAAAACCACUCCAAAGAGAAUAAAAAACCACGGGCAAAAAUAAUUUUACUAUAAUGACAAAAGAACAAUGAGUACAAAAGAUGGAGAUAAAAACUAAACCCCGAAACCCAAAAACAAAGAACCCUUAAAACGUAAACACAAAAUUCUUUAAAUGUGUUAUGAGUUCUAAUCUCUAAUGGGUGUGAAUUCUAAAGUUGUAAAAGAGCCUAUUUAUAGGCUAAAUUUAUAGGUCAAAUAAUAAUAAAAUGAUCUAGACUAAUCAGAGUUUAAUUGAAGCAAAUAAACAGAAUUUAAUUAGAAGAUUAUUUCUCAAAUUUGACUGAAAUAGGAGUCAUACGCAACAGAUAUAUUUAAUUAUCUUCGAAAAUGUCUGGUUUUUUGAAGUGCUACAAGAAAUGUUGCUUGAAUUAUUGGAAUAGUUUAUUUAACACUAAUAAUAACAAGUAAAGAACAAAGCACACUAGUGCACUAAGAAUUAUGUAUGUAGUUCGGUACAUAAACCUACAUUUGCAAAGUCUCACCUAAAAAAUGAUCCUCUCUAUUAAGUCGAUAGUAGGUUAAAUUCAAAGGAUAAUCCUCGUACUUAUCAAUUUACGUGUAUUUAGCCCAUCUAUCUUUAUUCGCUCAAAGUUUGUCCCUCUAUUUUUCGAUUUGCUUAUUUUCAGCCAUUCUGUUAACUGAUUUCAUUAACUCUGUUAAAAAAAGGUCAAUCACAAAUAUAGCCCCUCAACCUUUACAAUUUUUGUCAAUUCAGUUGUUACUCUUUUUUUUUCCUUUAAUUAUAAAUUUUUUUUAAAAAAUUAUUAAGAUUUCCCAAAUGUGUUAACAAGUUAAAUAUAGAAAAUACCAAAACUUACUAUUGAUCAUUAUCACUAGAAAUUUUAACCUGGGUGAUAACAAGUACCAUACAUAUCUAUAAAAAAUAAUAAGAAAAUUAACAUUGAUAAAUAUAAAUGUUAAUAAAUGAUGUCAUGACCAACCCCUCUUAUUGAAUCUAAAUGACUUUGAUGUAUCCUAGAGAUAUAAUAGAUUUGAGAACUGCAAACUAACUAAGCACUCGUCUCUUUGGUCUUCAAAAAUUUUACAUCCUAGAAAUACAAAAUAGGAUCUUGUCUUUUGCUUGUCUUUGCUUUGAUUGGACAUGGCUUGCUUUUAUCACAUGGAAACUCAAACAAAUUUCCAUGAUUUUAUGAAAAAUAGAUUGGUCAUUGUUUGAAUCAAUGUUAUGCACUUACUCUUAUAAAUUGAAGGCAUAAUUCAAGCUUAUUUUGGACUCAUUAAAAGAGGGACUGGUCAGAACAUUAUUUAUAAACAUUUAGAUUUAUCAACACUAAACUUGUAAUGAUUUUUGCUAAAUAUAUACCGUACUUGUUACUGAAUGAGAAUUGCAAGUUAAAUCUUUAGUAGUGAUUAAUAAUAAAUUUUGGUUUUUUUCUUCUAUCUUUGAUUUGUUGAUGUGUUUGGAAAAUUUUAUAAAUUUUUAACUAGUCUAUAAAUUUUUUUUAUUUGAAUAUAAUUUUUUAUAAUUUUCUAUAAACAGAAAAAAAAGAGUGAGGGUUAAAUUAAUUGACAAAAAUUGUAAAGGUUAAGGAGCUAAAUUUGUGAUUAUACCUAAUUUGUAAAUAGAGUUAACGGAGAAAGAUAAUGGAAUGACCUAAAAUGACCAAUUAAAAAAGUAGAGGGACAAAUUUUAAGCAAUAAAAGUAGAGGAACUAAAUUUACACAAAUCGAUAAGUAUAAGGACUAUCCUUAGAAUUUAACCCCAUAAUACAUCCACCAAUUUAAGCCUAAUCAAUUUUAGGACUAUCACAACCUCAACGUCAUACACUUCUAAGUAGACACUAACAAAAAACUCUUGUUUUCAAGUACCUUCUUACUAAAAGAAACAAAAUACUUAUCUCACAAAACGCGCCAAGAAAGAAAACUCAUUUUGAGUAAUUUUAAUGCUCUCAAAUCAUGUUAUUCAUUGAAGAUUGUAGUUUAUAGACUACAAUCAACUAGUAAAUCUCAUUAAAUUAUCCCUCCUAAUCUGCAAGACAAAAAGAUAGCAAGAUAAUCCUUUUAACCACUCUAUAUUUUCCAUAAAUCAACCAUAUCCUCUUCAAGUAAGCUUUUCGUUUUGUGCUAGAACUGACCCAUACUUCAUUGGUCCCCAUAAUCAUAUGUGUUACUCCUCUUACUAGUUGUUUACCAUUGCCUUUAUUAUGUCUUCUAAAGCUCGAGAUAGCUUCGCCCCUUUCUUUGUGGCAAGGAUCCUAAGCCAUAAAAUUGUUUAAGUUGACCUCUCGCCUAACAGCUUCCUUUGUAGUAUCUUUUAAUAAAAUACAAUCUUCAAAUUUGUGGCCUACAUCACCAUGAAAUUGACAUCUUUGGGUUGAUUGACCUCGAUAUCUAUUAGGCUUCAUUUAUGGUAAUAUCUCAAGAAUACCCUAAUCUUGAAACUGGCUUCAAAUGUGUACUCGUGAUGAAUUCAAUGGAGUAUAACUAGAAAAUUUGUUAGAUGAUGCUUGUCACCUUCUCUCAUCAUAUAACUCAAAAUGGGAUGCAAUAUUCCUCAAUGAAUUAGGGGAGCGAAAAUGAUAUUGCCCCUUCCCCCAAGUGUACUCGCAAACUAGGGAGCAUUUUAUGUUGAUCUCGAUUGGAAGGUUGCCCAGGGGAAGGGUGGUUUAAUCUCUGGCAUGGAAGCCAAAAUACCUAAAAUCAAACUCUAUGUUAGACAAGUUCAUCUCUUUUGUUUUUGUGUAUUUUUGAGCCUUGUCAUACUAAUUAGUGAGGUGUUUAAGCUUAUUUUAUGCAAGAAGAUAUUUCAAAUGCUCAAGACUUACUCUUUUUAUAAAGGCUCCCAUAGCCCAUUAAUUUGUCAAAUCCUUAUUACCCAUGGUCGCAAUAUUAAAGCAUUUAAUAUAAUCACACAAGGGCUUAUUGAGUUGUUGCCUGAUAGCCAGAAAGCUAGUGGUGUUUUAAGAUAGUUUUGUAUGUGCGAAAGAGACCUAAAAAUUGGAAACCCAGUUGUUCAAAUAUGUGAAUGGUUUUAGUGCGCAGGGAUAAAAAUGAACUUAUGAUAAAUUAAAAAAGGCUUCAAGGCGUGUAUCAACGCCAUUUUCUUUAAGGUUCUAUUUGUCACCACCUAUAUUUCGAUGUGCAAAAAAGUUAUUAGCAACCUCGAGAAUACAAUGAAGUCCAAUAACUGUCUACAUUUUGUACUGACGGAAACAGUUCACUAAGCAUUAAACAAAGCAAAGCUAGAUCAAUUUCUAUAAAGAAUUUAUAUGUUUUGGUGUGUCAAACAAAUGAAAUUUGAUUCCUAUUUAUAGAAAUUCUCAUGUUUCUUUAUAAAGAUAUAAUUAUUCAAAUAGAUAGCCACAUCUUUUAGCAAUAAAUAUAAUUAUUCAAUAUAUAUCUACUUGAAUAAUUAUGACCAUUUAUUAUUAAUUAAGUGAUAUAUCUUUUGGUGACAAAAGAAAACCCAUCAUUAUGAAUAGAUACAACUCUUAGUUAACAAAUAAGUGACAUAACUUUUAGACUACUAAUAACUUUUCAAUUAAAACUAUUGGAAGAUUAUAAACUUUUUGAAAAUGCUCCAACAAAUGGAACCUUUUAGGAGAGAAAAGUACCAUUUUUUUACAUUUCUCCUCAAAGUAGUGGCAAAGGGCCUGCAUUUAAAGGCAUCAAAAGCUCCCAAAACUGUAACAUCCUGGUUUAGACCCUAGUUGGAAUAGUAGUUUCGGGACCACAAAUCUAAGUUAGAAUAAUAUUUUAAUAUUAUUUUCCAUGUUUACAGCAUGAUAGAUGUUAUGUGUGAAAAUUUCAUGUGAAAAUUUUAUUGUUUAUGUGCUUAAUUUGAUAAAAGGACUAAAUCGUCUAAAGUGUAAAUGUAGCAUGCUAUAAGUUAAGAGUGUUUAAUUGCUAUGGUUUAUUAAAUGAAAGGUCCUUAUAAUGUUAUUACACCCUUGAUAGUGGAAUUUGGCAUAAAUGGGCAUGUAUUUGAUGUUUUAAAUGAUUAUUAAAUAAGGUCAUUAUGGUAAUUAGUCAAAUAAAAUAUGGUUUAAUAAAGUCAAAGUUGAAAAUUCAUUUAUUCUUCCAUCUUUUAACCAAAAAUAAUAACCAAAUUAGGGCUUGGAAAGCUUUGAAUAUUUCAGCACUUCAAGGUCUUGAUUAAGGUAUGGUUUGAGCUCGGUUUUUGAUGAUUUUUACGUUUUUGAGAUCGUUGCUUUGUGUUCUAUCAAGCCCAUGUCUAAAUUUCUAAUUUUGUUGAUGAUUUCAUGAGAUGCCAUUAUUGAAUAUGAGUUUUAUGAUGUUUGAUGAUGAAAAAUAAGUGUUGAAUGAUAGAUGAACAUGUUUUGUAUAAUGAUUUUUGGGGAAAAUGUGUAUUAAGGAUUUAAUUGUGAAUUUUGUAAAUUUAGGGGUUAAAAUGUGAAAUAAAUGAAAUAUAUGGGCUGCUAGGGACUCACAUGAAAUUCGGCUAAGCUUGGGUGUAAUGAAAUUUUGUGUAAUUUGUGAUUUUUUUGUGAAUAAGGACUAAAAUGUAAGAAAUGUAAAAUUUUAGGGGUUAAUAUGUAAAAUACCCAAAUUGUGUGUUUAUGGAUUUAAUUGAAUACAUGAAUGAUUAAUUAGUGAAUUUUGAAUUUAUUUAGAUCAAGAAAGGCGAUAUACGGACUUAGAUCGAGGCAAGAACAAAGUACUCGAUUAAUCGACUCAUUUUGACAUUUUAGCAUCCAAGGUAAGUUUGUACGAUAUAAUUGUUACUUUAGCAAUGUUUAUUUGUUAUGAAAUGAAUGGAAAUGUGAAUGAAAAGUAUGAUUAUGCUCGGAAAUAAUUCUAUGAUAAAUGGCACUAAGUGUGCGGAAAUGUAUUAACUAAGACUAAUAAAAGGCACUAAGUGUGCGAGACCGAGACAGUUUCGAUAUAAUGUGAUGGCACUACGUGUGUGAUAUCUUUAUAGCUUCGGCUAUAUGUUUGCUAAGUGUGCGAGUUCUUCUAAUGUUUAAAGACUACAAAUGAAUUAGUGUAUCGAGCUAUGAAAUAGUAAAGUGAUAGAUAAAUACGUAAUGGUACAUGUAGGUACGAAACUUAUGUGGUUGGUAAUGUUGUAUAUAAGGUAGAUGGAAGAUUAUGAGAAUGAAUAAUGUUUAUUGAGUUGGAUUGAGUAGUAAUAUGAAUGCUUGUUUACAAAUUUAAUGACAUGGUAUGAAAGUGAUUAAUAGUCAUGACAGAGUUUGAGUAUUGAUAUGAAUUGUAUUAAGUGUUGGUUAAUUGAUAAAUUUGCAUUUAAUUGUUGAAUUAAAUGUGUUAUAUUAUGAACUUAUUAAGCUUUAUAGCUUACUGUGUGAAUUUUUCUCUGUUUAUAGUGUAUUAAAGCUAGCUCGGAUCCAAGAAUCGUCAGUGACUUAAUCACACUAUCGGAUAUCUAUUUUGGUAUUUUAUUUUAGAAGUUGUAUAUAUGGUAUAUGACAUGUAUAGGCUAGUGUCUUGAUGAUGUAUUUUGUGUUGGAACUCAUGCCAUGUGAUGUGGCUUUAGAAUGAUGGAAAUGAUGAAAUGGUUUUGGUUUAUUUUAUGAGAUGAAAUAAUGUAUAUGUGAUAUAUAUAUAGUUGUUUUGGUAUGGUUGUCUUAUUGGUAAAACAAUGUUGUAUUGAUAAAUGAAAAAAGGCAUAUCAUAAUAUAUUUAGUAGUUGAUUGAAUUGAGGAAUUGGUAUGAUAGAUGGGGUUGAAUUGUUGUGGAAUAGAUGUGAAAAUGCUUAGUUGAAUAUACGUAGAAUUGGUAUGUUUUGGGAGUAGGGUUUGUUUAUUGAAAUGGUUGAGACUGAUAGUAUGAAUUAUGCAUGAAAUGGUCAUUUUUUUGAGUUGCCUAAAUGAUGCAAAUUUGUGGUACCUUUUGAAUGAAACAGGAAGCAUGUUUUAGGUUUUGUAAACCCUUUAAAGGGAGACAAUGUGUAUGAAUGACUAUGAUAUGAUGAUGAUCGAACUAUGUUUGUGCUAUGAUUGUUUAAUGAUGUGAAAUAUCCGGUAAUGCCUCGUAACCCUAAUCUAGCGACGAAUACGGGUUAAAGCUGUUACAAAAACAUACAUGUAAUUAGUGUUUAACCAGGUAUUUAACCCCCCUCAUAAAUUUCCUUAGGGAAUUUAAAGAAUUUUGGUAGGUCUACAACUACUAUUUCAAGGCAAGGGGAUUGUUGGAAUAGGAAUCCGAAUCCAUGUCUUUAGUGUCAAGCCUUAAAGCCUGAAUAUCUCAGCUUAGCACUUCCAUUUCUUUAUAUCAAGCUUGAGGCUGGUAUUAUAGAAAGAUCGAAUUUGGCUAGUAUUUCUAGUACUAAUUAUAGUUUUGGCCUUGUAAAUUAAGUGAAAAGGCAACCUUAUCAUGUUGUCAUAGAAAUUAUGGGUGGAGGGUUUUAGCCUACUCUUAGCUCUCUCAACAUUUUAGUAUUUUGACGAAGAUGCUUUUUGGUACUAAUAGUAUUAUUAUUUAUGUCUCAACUUCUGUUGCAUCAUUUGACCUCUCAAAGCUCUCAUUUGUUCUUGUAGCUUCAUGAACUUCUAGGAGGAAAAGUUGGGAUUUUGGGUUGUUUGUUCAUCGAAGGUUGACAUUGGUCGUGUAUUAGGUGAGGGGUGACAGAUUAUGGUACCUAGGUUGUUGACGGUACGAAUUUUCGUACGCAUCACUGUUAGGGUUGUAAGGGCGUGUAGCUAGUUGAGGGUUUCUGGAUUGGCUAGUGUGGAAAGUUUUGUGUGCUAGGAUUGGUUGUAGAACUAGGAUUCUUAAGGAUGUUUCUCUUCAAGAGUUAUGUCGUCCAUGCUCACUGCGUUAAAUUGUUGAAGAUAGUGUUGUUGGAACCAGACCAGGUCAAACUAAUUAGACUGAAAAUUGAAAAAAAGUAUCAAUUGAAAAAAAAAGUAUAUAAUUUUUUUAAGUUUUAUGAUAUUUAAUUAUUGUUGAUCAAUGGUCGAACCAUUGAAUUGAGAACUGUGAUUUGAUUGAUUUGACUAUUGGUCUAGUUUUUAAAACAUUGGUUGAGAGUGAAAAGAGGAAGGAUAAGGAAAAAGGUGAUUUGCAUGGUGGUGAUGUGCUGAAAGCCAUUCAAGAGGAAGAUUGAGCAAGGGAAGAGCAUAAGAGAAAGAGAUUGAAGAAGAAACCUCCUUAAGGUCAAGGAAAUGUAUUUAUAAAUGAGCUUGAUUCGUCCUUUGUCCUCAGGGUUUGACACAUGUCCACUUUGGUCUUAUUGUGGUCAGUUCCUUAAAGGACAUGAUAACCUUCCUAACUAGGCAAUGACAAGAUUUACGUGGAAUUAGUGAAGUUCCACGUGUACUUCAUGCGAGGAAGAGACUCAACACUUGUCUUUGAUGAGGUAGAUUGGAGGUGCUCCAUGUGUUAGCUAUACAUGUGCUAGCGAGGUGUCGUCCAUGGGCAAGGUUGCAGCUGGCAAGCAUGUUUGGUGAACCCCUUCUUGAUAAGUAGGGAUAACAAAAUUGGGAACAAAUAAUUUAUUCAUUAUGUAUGCAUUUCAUUUUUAUAAUUUAUAAAACAAGUAAAAUCCAAAUCUAGAUUUUAAUAUUCAUAUUUCCAAAAAUAACAUUAAUUAAUUUCCUUAUAAAUAGAAGGGUCUGAAAUAGCUUUCCAAAAGUAAAUGGGUUUCAGUUACUUGAACAGCCAAACCUUCAUUUUCUUGGGACGUCCUUGUAUUGAAAACCGUGACAUUACUUAUGCCUUUCCCCUCUCACCUUCCCAGUACAAUAAGCAAACCCGCCCAUCUUCCCAACUACACCCAAUAUCUGCAUUUAUAGAUAUAAAAUUAGAAAGAAAGAAAAAAAACCCAACUGAAAUCCCUCAACAAACUACUUUGACUCUUACAUGGUUAAAUCUCAUUUUAACCUUUUUAUCUUUCACCAAUCUUUUAUAUGUUUCUUUUCAUUCUCAGAAAUGAUGCUUUUUGUUACAAUAAUGGUAGUUGGUCUUUAUGCUAACAUCAUUUAAUCUUGUUUUCUUCAAUUUAUACUUUGAAAUAUAACGGGAUGGAUGGAAUAUUUGCUCAUGGGAUUAAGGGGGAAAAUGCUGCAAAUUAACCCAUUUCCUUCUCUUAAUCCUACCUACCAUGGAAUCAAUUAUACUCUCAACUUCAUAUAAUUUGACUAAGUUCAAGUCAUGCCAUUUUGUAUUUUUUUUUAUAAAAUCCUGACUAAAUUCAUUACUUAACUUCUUAACAUAUGUAAGUCGAUAUUAACCGUUUAUUUUAUUUGUGUUUGUUUCAAAUCAGCCAACUAAUUUUGGUUUUUUAAAACUUUGAAUGUAAUAACAUGGUAAAAUUUAAUUAGACAUUGACAGAAAUACAUUGUUUUUACUCGAUUUCAAGAUAUUGUUUCCGUGAAUAUUAGGAAGAGAGGGUGUUAGUGCAACAAAUACAUGAUUCUAAAUCAACUUUAUAAUGGUGAGAUGAGAAGGGACAAAAAUGUAAAAUUAAAAUAAUUAUUUACGUGAGAUUAGAAUUAAUUCUAAAUACCAAUGAUGUUAUUUGGUGGUAUAAAACAGUGGUCUUUUAUGUUGCUUACAUAUCUUGAUUCCCAUUUCUCAUUGACAAGUAGACGCAGCAGCCGUAGAUGAGAAAUGGAAAAUGAAAAGCGAUGACGUGUAAUCCAACACAAGGGUGAAGUAACCCAUAAGGAUUUCAUUGUUGAAACUAAUUUCUUGUUUUCCUUGCUCAUUAAAACUAACUCCAUUAUAUACGAUUUUUAAAUAUGGGUGAAGUACAAUUUAGUUGAUUUUUUCUUUGGGAUAAUUGAAACUUCCAUUCUUUUUAUAAAGCAGAUAAUGACAUCUUCAAUUUUGAGUGCUGGGUGAAGAUGACAUUUUACGUACCUUUAUGCUUCUCUUUUGAAAUCGUCAUCAUCCUUCUUAUUCUAUUUUAAAAAUAAAAGCUAGGUUGCCCAUUUACCUAUCCUUCUCAAUUACCAUAAAAUCAUGUCAAUCUUGUUGUAACUAUUCCAUCGCCAUCAAACCAUACCCAUUCAAUACCCCAAAUAGUUGCUGUGCUCAAUUUCAGAAUUAUUCUAUUUUUUCAUCUUUGAUUCAAAUUCAAAUAUAAUAUCCAUAACCCAUUGAGUUCUUUUUUUAAUUAUUGCAACUUUAAUUAUGUCAGUAAGUUUAAAGUUGAAACAGCAAAUAAUGGAAUUGUCAUGAAAAAAAUCCACCUCAACACAAAUAUUUAAUGAUUUUAAAUUUAACUAAAUAAUAUUAUAAAAAUAAAAAGCAUCAAGGCUUAAAUAUCCAAUAUGGAAACCCAACGCCAUUUGCAGACCAUUGCAUCCUUUUGAUCCAAUUAAAGUGUUUCAAUGAUAUUACUAUUUAACAUUCCAAAUCAAAGUAGGUGAGUCUUGUACUAUCAAGCCGCCUUUAAGGUGAGCAAUUGUGUUUCUGGGCUGCAUAAAUAACUAUAUGGGCGAGGCUCUUACUUGCUUCCCACAUCUAACAACCUUUCACUUUAUAUAUUUAAACCACAUGAAUAAUAAUAUGUACAAAAUUAAAAUAACAAUAGUUUUAACUCUAAGUAAAAUGAUUUUUUUAUACAUCAUCUUCAUUUUACGAUUCAUAUAUGGGGUUCGUGAGUUGCCUCUUUCAAUAAUGUUAUCUCCAUGAUUUGAACUUGUGUUCUCCUCUUACGAGUGCAAUGUGUCUUAUCAUCACACUCAACUCUUGUUGGUUGAGUAAUAUAAAUAUAUCAUACUACAAAUAUUAAAUGCACUCGAAUUAUUUAUCAUGAUAUUGUUAUUUUUUUAGUUGGUAUCGAGUUAACUUAUGGCACCAACGAUAUUAUCAAUAUAUACAAAUAAUGCAGGUUAAGCAAUCUGUAUAAUAAAGUUGAAAUGUAUAAAAAUAGUAAAAUAAAACUUUGGUUGAAGUAGUAAGAUGUUGGUUGCAUGAGUUCAAAUUUUAAUAUUUAUAAAUUUUUAUCGAUUUUUUAAUAAAAAAUCAAAAGUACCCUUAUAAUAAUAUAAUUUAUUUAAAAUUUAUAAAGUUAUUUUAAUAUUUAAUUAAUAUCGAAUUAACUUAUGACGCCAACUCAAUCCGUAUAAAUUCAAUUAGUAAAUAGUGGGAAGUUGGAACGGUUAUUCAUAUAUUGGAUACUGUUAUUUGACAUUCGACCAACCAUGUUCAUAUGCAGGCAAAUCACAUUACAGUUAUACCAUAUUUUGAAUUAAAGCAUCACAAUAAAUCUUUAUAUAUACACCCAAUCUUAAUUAAUAAUAAAGCAAAUAAAAAAAUAACCCAAAAAAUAAUCGUAUGGUAUCGGUGGUUUCCUCUUCGUUUACCCUUUUUAUAUAAUUAAAGUAUAGGGAUAAAAUUGUCUCUGCAAUUUGUAAGAUUUUUUUUUAUUUCUUAUUUUCUUAUUUAUAACUAUUUUUUUCAAUAUAACUAUAUAAUUAUUUAACAGAAUUUUAUAUCAUUAUUAAUUAAAAACAAUUUUAUAUGAUUAUUUAGCCAUUACUAUUCCUUGGUUCAAAUUAAUUUUAAAUAUAUUAUUAUACGUUAAAGAUUAAUUACUUAUUUAAAAUAUUAUUUUUAUUAAAAAUAAUUAUUUGUUUAAAUAAAAACAAAUAAAUACAACAACAUUAAGGAAAAUAAAGAUAUUUGAUAUGUUGUUAUUUAUCUUAUUUGUGCUGGUGUCACAAAUUAUUCAAACUUUAAAAAAAAUUCAUUUAUCCUUUUCUUUUAAAUAAUAACUAAUAUUAUUACGAUAAUACUUUUAUAUUUUCAUGUUUUUAAAUAAAAGAAUUAAAGAAUAUAUCUAAGAAUCAAAUAAGAUUUAAGCACAAAUUUGUUUUACCACUCUACCAAUGAUCAAUUAUUGAUUAAAUUUAAAAAAGAAAAAGAAAAAUAAUUUUUAUAUAAAAUGUUUUGCUUCACCUAAAUAAUGGGUGACAUAAUCCAGUUUUUAUUAUUUUCUAAUGAUUGAUGACAUUCAUGUAAUCUAAUCUCAUAAAUGUCAAAUAAUCUAAUAUGUUUAUUAUACUUCAAUGAAGGUCACUUUUUUUCACUACUAUUCACCCAUCAUUCUUUUAUUAUCCCCACACAUAUUUCUCCUUCAACUUUAUUUUUUCUUCAAUAAAUAAAAGUAUUUUUUUAAUUUUGGUGAAUAUAAAAUAUUAUCAAUUAAUUACAUAAAAAUAUUCUAAAAAAAAAUACCCUCUAUCUUAUCAAUUUCCAAAAGAUCGAGAACUAUCGUAGGAGGGAAAUAAAAAAUUUACAAUUUUCUUUUUUGGCCAAAAACCUAAACCAUCUCUCUAGAUAUUUUUCAUUUAUUCAAAAUGCAUAAUGUGUGCAACUAAAAAAAAAAAAAAAAACCUACUUAAAGUGAUCAAUCAAUGAUAAAACUAAGCUGGUAGCGUAAUAAAACGAAGUUGACUAAUUGCUACUCCCCAUCAAUUUCAAUCUCAUCACUACUCGUUGUCCUCUAAAAAAAAAGGUUUGGGUUUUAUUCGUAAUAAAAAAUAAAAAAUUAUGUAUUAAAAAUAUAAUAUUUGAUACAUUGUUAAUAGAGAUUUUAAAUUUCACAAUGUUAGGGGUUGACAAAUAUCUUAUAAUAAUAUAGUAAAAUAUUUUGAAAAAACGUAAGGUAAUUUUUUAAAAUUACUUAUAAAAAAAUUAUAUGUACCAAAUAUUAACCCUUAAAAUAGGUGGUAAUAAUAGAAAUUUAUUUAUGGAAUUAAAAUUUUUCACUAACAAUAUAUUAAAUAGUUUAUAUUUUAAUAUAUAAUUAUAGGUAACACAGUUAAUGAAAAUUUUUGAAUUUCACUAACAAAUAAAGGGUGUGACAAGUGUCAUAUUUAUUUAUAUAAUUAUUAUUUUUAAAUUUUUACUAUCCAUACACUUGUCAAAUUCUAAACCUAUUUAUCAAAUAAUUACGAACACAACAAAAUUUUGUUAAAAUAAAGCUAAAUGUAGUUAAUCUCAAAUUCUUUGUGCUUUUUGUACUAUAAAUUUUAGUUUUUUUUUCCUUUAAAAUGAAUUAAUUAUUACAUUACUCUUUUAACUAAGACCUCUCUAAUAUUUUUUCUCAUUGCUUUACUUGUUAAUUUUCUCAAACAUUUUUUUUUCUGUUUUUUAAGAUUUAUAUAGCCCAAUAACUAUAAAUGCGAUUACUUUUAAGUGUUAACUAUCUAUUUUAAUUUUUAAUUAUAAUUAAUUUAGAUUGUUAUAGUUUCCUUUGGGCCAUUUAGCAUUUUAUAAAUUUAGUAAGAUAGUCUAAAAUGGGUUUAGUUUCAGGCUCAUGGGCUUGUGAAUUGUUCUUCCUUUGUCAGUUUUUUUUUCCCACUAAGUACACUCAAAAUUUAUUUUAUUUCCAUUUUUUCAUUUUCUCAUUUCAUUCAUCCACACAUUUUAUCUCUCCACUUUUCUACUUAACUAAACACACAGUUUUUUUUUCAAAAUUAAAUAAAAAAUAGAGUGGGGAAUAGAUUAAUUAUGAAAAUAAUAUGCUUGCUACAGUAUUUUUUAGUGCCACCACCAUGUUAGGGACACCAACCUACUUUUCCCUUAAUCAUGCUUUAAUCAUUACCUUUAAAAAAUAUUUUUUUAGUGGUAUUACAUGAUACAAUAGCAACAUGGAACUAAUGUCUAAUAAACUAAAACAUUCAGGGAUCUGAUGAAGUAAUUACCCUUUUUAGAUUGGUUGAAAAAAAGGUGCCGCAUGACGACACCAAAUUAAAUGGUUUUUAACUUUUAGUCUAUUUGCAUGUUAAGUCUAUCCUCUUUUAAAAUUAAAUUUAAAUAGCUAUUAAAAAAUAAGAAUAACAACAAUAAAUCUUUCUCAUUUUAUUUUAUUAAAAAAAUAAAAAUUUAAAAUUUAUAUAAAAUUCUUAUUUAAAUUACCUAAAUAUAUCCGUAACAAAAUUUCCUUUUAAUUAGGUGUCGUCACACUGUUAGGCAACACCCCCUUUUUUAGCCAAUCUGAAAAGGACAAUUGCUUCAUCACGUCCCUAAAUAUAUUGGUUUAUCACACUUUAGCCCGAUAUCACCAUUUUGUCAAGCGACACCACUAAAAAAUGGUUUUUUUUAGAGGAAAUUAUUAAAGCAUAAUUGGGGAAAAAGUAGGCUGGUGCCACCUGACACAAUGACGACACCAAAAAAUGCUGUAAGAAACAUAUCAUUUUUGAAAUUAAUUUGUUUGUCACCUUAUUUUUAUAUUUAAUCAUUUUUAAUAUUAUUUUUGAAAUAAAAAUCCCCAAGCACACUCUAAAUGAGAAAAAGAGUCCUAACAGAAUAAUUAAAAAAAUCCUUAAUCAUGAUCACGAAAAGAUAUAUUCUUUUAAGAGAAAAUAUUUAAGGAAAAACGGUAAGUAUUAAAAAACUUUAAUAAGAAAUUUAAUAAAUUGUUAAAAUGUAUAAUUGUUUAUCUAAUUAUUAUAUGUCAUAUGUAAUAAAUAAUUGAUUUUUUAAAUGCACCUAAUACCUUUUUCUGAAUUUAUAAUAAUGGUAUCUAGCAUAUUUUUUUCUUCAUUUAGCACUUUGUGAUUGUCAUUUUAUUUUCUCUAUGGUAAUGUCAGUAAAGUUAGUCUAGCAUUUUUUAUUUCCAUCCACUUAUAUGAUAUUGUUAUACUCCCAAUUCGAGAGGGACGUGUGGCACCAUGAGAAGGUACUUGAGAGAUAUCUAUGAACGACCCUCCGCCUUACAUCACUUAGCUCCUCACUUGAGGAGUACUCAAAUGGUCCAUCGUCUUACAGCACCUAGUUGGUCAUGGGGUGACCAGCCACCUAGAAGUAUCAUCAUCUUAGCCACUUGCUUCUAGCGAGAAUGCACUCACCUCCAAGAGGAGACCACCAAUGAGCCACUAGGGCUUAACCUUGUACUACCUUAGCCAAAGGAAUAUUAGAACAAUACCAUGUAUGAGAACAACUGGCAUGCCACCUGGUCGACCACACGAGUAGUCCAGCACUCGUAUUGUAGGUGACGUGGCACUACCAGCCAGGGGUCCUUCACCUUAUAAUAUUGUAUUAUAUGUCCAAUCAAUUUGAAUAUGUGAUAUUUUAAUAUUCAACAUCGGUGAAAAUUAAAGUUCAAUUAAUAAUAUUGUAGUAUAUGUCCAAUCAAUUUGAAUAUGUGAUAUUUUAAUAUUCAAAUGUUUGAUUUAAAAAUUAGAAGAUGAAGUGAUAACACAUAUUCAAAAUUAGCAGAAGUGAAUUAAAAAUUUACCAAUUGGACUUUAAUUUUAAUUUAGAUCAAAUAAGUAUAGAGACUAAAUUAUUGGAAUUAAAUAUGGAGGAGCAAUUGGAAAAUUCUGAAGAAUAUACAAGGACUGGAAGCCCAGUUAGGCAUUGGUAAGUUUAGUUUUUCAAAGGUAAUAAUGUGAUGUGGGAUAAUAUGCGUUAAUUUUUAAUAAUUAGGUAGCAGAAAAAAUAAAAUGAUAUUUUCAUAAUUGGAUAUAGAUAAAAGAUUGCCUAAAUUGAUGGGCAUGAUGGGUGCCACAAGUGAUUAAAACUAAAUAAAAUGGGAUUAGUUGGUUAAGAGGAAGUAAAGUAGGCCAUUAAUUAGUACAAAAUUCCAAGUUGCUAACAUACUAAUACUAAGUCUUCUUAUCCCUUUCUGAGUUGUAACAUAGCAAAUGGAUAAUGUGAUUAGGACUCCAUAUCAAGGAAAUUGCAACAUUUUCAAUACCCCACUCAUUCUUAUCACAACUUCAUUUUCAUAUUAAAAAAUUAAUAAUAGAGGUUCAGUUUAGCAAAUUGAAUAACAAGUGGACAUCAAUUUUAAAUUUAAUCAUUAAAUAAUCCUUACUGUUUACCUCUUAUACAAAAAUUAGUAUAUUACUAAAUUUUAAAUAAAUAAGCUUAAGAAUUGAGGUGAUUAGAAUUAAUUUAAGACCAUGGCUGUUGAAAUUAAAUUGGACCGGUUGAUUGGAUCAAGAACGGAUCAGUAUACAAGUUUAAAGUAAGGUAACAAAAUCGGUUAAAUUGAAUUAAAAAAUUAAUUAAACCAAUUGAACUAGUUUUAUAAUUUUUUAAUAUCUAAAAAGCCUGGUACUACAAACCAUGAGCUUGUCGAAUUAAACUAAUGUAUUAACUAAAGGAUUGAAUUGUAAAUGUACCAAAAUUAUAAUUGAAAUAAUCAGAGAAUAAUGCAGUAGUUGAUCAAUGUCCAUGUUAAUAACUAAUUCUAGGAUUAGGGAGCCAAAUUGAUAAAUUUUCUAAUCGGUUUAAUUUUACCUAUCAAUCACUAAUUUAACCAAUUAAACAAUUUAGUCCAGUUAAUCUCUCAAUACCACUUAGACUAAAUAGGAACUAUUAAUAUAUACUCGAUACGUCUCCUAUUGAUCUUACUUAUCUAAUUAUUCACAUAGAGUUGUCAAUUCUAGGUUCCUCUAUUUAUUCAAUUAGCUCUUAAACCUUAGAUUAAUUAAUUAACAUUUCGAUUAAUCAACCACAAUAGAAAAUUAGUCCAUGCCCAUAUUUAUCAAACAAAACUCAUUCAUUUUCAUAUUAAUUUAAAGAUUUAAAUCACACAAAAAUAAUAGAGUUUAGAAAAUGUUCAGAGAUCUCAAUGAAGUCCUUGAUUUGGUCGUUGAAAUGAAGCGUAAACACGAAAUCCACAACCCUGAUUAUUCAAUUGCAAGUUUGGAUUAAGAAAUAAAUCUAAAAUCUAUUGAACUUGGGUGUAAAAAUCAAAGGAUAUAAAUGAUCACGGUACCUUUGAGUGCCAAAAGAAAAGUGCAGAAAUUUAUAUCUAAAAACAAGUAGAAACUAAACCCUAAAAAUUACUCUAAUGAAAAAAGCUCUCCAAAAAAAAUGUUUUGACAAAAGUUAACCUAAAAUGGAUAAAAACAUCCCUAUUUAGCAGUUAACUUAGGCUUGAAUUGAUUGAGAAAUGCCCCUUGCAAAACUUGCCUCGUUGAGCUUCGAUAUUGCAACACCCAAACUUUAGUGUCGUAGUAACCUAAACAGUCUACUCCCAUGGAUGUUUGCUAGCUUUAGUGUCAUGACCAUGAUCUCCAAUGUCGCAACUUGCACCUUUGGAUGAAUUGGACUCCUCAAACCUAGUGAUUGCCCACAAUGUUGUGACAUUGAUGGCUCAAUGUCGCGUUCCUAAGGUUGAUGUCGCGACUCCAUCAACAAUCUACUUAUAGUGUGAUUUUGUUGAAGUUUAAGUCCUCGUGGUGAUAGAAGACUUUGAUGUUGUGACACCAAUGGCAACAUUUCUUCAAGUUUUGGCCUUUAUCACUUUUUGUAUUAGCUCAAGUUAGUCGUUAAAUUUCCAAAGGCAUGAUUUUGUCAUCUUGAUCUCAAAAAGUACUCAAAUGCAUAAAAAAAAUUCUAAAGAAAAAUCUAAUAAUUACUAAAAAGUACUAAAUAAAGCUAUAAAUACUUGAGUACAAGCUCAUUAAGUGUUGAAAAGGGCCUAAAUUGACGUAUCAAUUCACGACAGAUCAUGGCCUGUAAAUUGUGGUUGAUUUGGUGCCAUAGGAAUAGAGUUUUGUUUGACAAGAUUUCUCCAAGUUCGGUUACAGUAAUUAGACAAGCAAAAGAUCUGUUAAACUAUGCAGAAUGGCUUGCUAGUAAAAGCAAAAGGAUACGGAUUCAUUAAGGAAGGAAUGAGCUGAAUCGUGUGUCCUCUCUAAUCAUCAUGAAUUUGACAUUAUUUUUUGUUGGUUUAGGAGAGAAAAGGAUGCACUAUAAUUAUUGUUGAUGAUGCAAUUCAUUGGACUAUUUACUGUUAGGGAGGCACUUUCAAAAACCUAUCCAAGUACAUAAUUUGGGGGGUGAGAAAGUGAACACUCAAGUGGAUGCUAGUGUCACGGACUUGGAGUUUUCCCACACAUCCGUGCGGCCUUAGGCAGUUUCUUGGCUUAAAAACGCCUAAGUCAGCCUAACUUCCACCAAUAAUGGAUUCAACCGUAAAAACGCCUAAGUCAGCUCAACUCGCAACAAUAAAGGAUUCAACAGAAUUCCCUUAAAGUUUCCAUGAAGAACAGCGGAAGAACGAAUUAAGAACGAUCUUUGAAAGAUGAACAAAAGCAAGAACGCUUGAGAGAAAAGUUUGAGUAAAUGCUCUCGAUUCUUAUUCACAAAGAAUAAUGAAACAAUUACAGGAGUCAGUACAAAUGAGGGGGAGGCUCUCUAUUUAUAGUUGAGCUCCCCCAAAACCGAUGGCUACAAUUAAAAGUUGUAUUCAACUAGGAUUCUAACUUUACAGAAUUAGAAGCUGUGUACAAUUAGAACUUCUAAGACUACUUAGUCCUAUCUUCAUUAUCGGGCCCAUCAGGCUUCAAUGUGACAGGCCUGUCCAACAGCUCUUUGAAUCGGGCCAAUUCUCGUAGGCCAAAUGAUCCCCAUCUGAGCAACAGACCUCCAUUGGAUGCAUUUGGUGCGCUUGUCACGGGCUUUGAACUGCGGUCCGUGACAUUCUCCCCCACCCAUUCUCGCAACGCCCUCGUUGCGACUUCUGAAUGGCACUGACUUGAUUCGCCUCGGUCUCGUCUCGUCGCCUUAGCCUUUCCCUUUCUUUGGGAUUCUUGCCUCGGCUUUUGUCGCUUCUUAUCUCGAGCCGUCCUGCUCGUCGCAUUUACUCUGGUCAACUAUCCCAUAUGCAUCGCUUCUUUUCCUUUGAAGUCUGAUGCACCACCUACCUCUCCCAUAGGUGGAAGCCUUGUCAAUGACUCGGCCAACUCCGACGCUUCACUCAACUUGAGCCUCAUUGGUCUCAGCUUCACUGUUUUCAUCGCAACUUUCUCCACUAAGUUAGAUGACAAACUCACCUCUUCCUUAGGUGGAAGCCCCUUCGAUGACUCACCAAGCUCAAACGUUACCUUUCUUUCGACUCUGGCUUGCUUUGGACAGUUCCGCAACUCAUGCGGACCACGGCACAAGAAGCACUUAACUUGCUUCUUUUUGCUCCUCUUUGCCCUCUUGGCUUUGGCUUUUCCCUUGCUCGAACCAAGCUUCUUGGGCUCAUUGUCUGCUCCAUCGUUCCCCUCGAUGACAGACUUCUUCGGACACUUCCGCAACCUAUGCGGACCAUGACACAAGAAGCACUCCACUGGCUUCUUCUCGCUUUCGGCCUCUUUGGCUUCGGCACCCCUUGCGCUCAAACCAAGUACCAAGGCCUUACCCACCGGCUUCUCCUUAAGCGCGGAUUUCAUCAAACAUUUUUUCAACAUGUGUGGACCGUCGCAGAGAAAGCAUUUUAGCUUGUCCCUUUUCCUCUUGGGUUUCUUAUUCCCAACUCGUGGUUUCCCAUUACCACCAUUGUCGCCGUUGUCAUUGCCAUUAACUCUAUCUUCCUUGUGAUCCAUUUCACAUAUGCCCCUUCCAUCGGACUUGGAAGACCCAAGCUUGUCUUUCCCUAGACCAAGCUUCACCACGGACUCAACUACCGUCAUGGCUUCCGACAGUUUUUGGACACCUCUUUGUUCCACCUCCUGUCUAACCCACGGCUUCAAUCCCUUUUGAAAAGCAAACAAUGCUUCUUCAUCGGUCACAUCUGAAAUUUGGAGCAUGAGUUCCUUGAACUCUUGAACAUACUCCCUCACUGUGCCCCGUUGCAUUAUCUCUUGCAACUUUGCCCGAGCUUCUUCCUCGGCAAAUUCUGGGUAAAACUGUCCCUUCAACUCGCAUUGGAACUCUUGCCACGUCCCAAUCUCACCUUGCCUUUUAUCUGUGGUCCUACCUCGCCACCAUAAAAGCGCAAUGUCAGUAAGAAACAUUGAAGCAGUGUUUACCUUAACCGCAUCCUCCAUGAUGCCUUUGGCACGGAAGUAGUUUUCCAUCCUCCACAAGAAAUUAUCCACAUCACAUGCAGACCUUGUCCCCACAAACUCUUUCGGCUUUGGGACAUCCUCAUUACUGAGUGCUGCAUUUGCCACUCCUUUCCCCACGGCUGCUUGACACAAGGCUAGCUCUCCCUCGAGCUCCUCUAUUCUUGUGCUCAAAGCCCUCGUCGUGGCCAUUGUUUCCUCCUUCAAAGCCAUCAUUAUGGCCUCGAGAGCAUCAUUCCUUUCCGACAGCUUAUCCCUGUGUGAAUUAAACAACUCGUUUACCUUGUCCAUGGUGGAAUCAAGAGACAUCUUUACAUAGUCUCUGGACUGCUCCUUCCAGUUUGCUAUGUGAUCCUCGACCCCAUCGAGUGCCUCCUUUACAUCCUCCAUGGAUCCCUUGAGUUUACCCACACGUUCCUCUACUGCCGAUAUUGUCUCCUUCAAAGACUUCCUCGCCCACCUUUGUUCGAACUCUUCUCUCGACAUCCCAACGGUGCCUUUGAACCAACAACUCAGAUAUCACUUGGUUCAAACCUUGGCUCGGAUACCACUUGUCACGGACUUGGAGUUUUCCCACACAUCCGUGCAGCCUUAGGCAGUUUCUUGGCUUAAAAACGCCUAAGUCAGCCUAACUUCCACCAAUAAUAGAUUCAACCGUAAAAACGCCUAAGUCAGCUCAACUCGCAACAAUAAAGGAUUCAACAGAAUUCCCUUAAAGUUUCCAUGAAGAACAGCGGAAGAACGAAUUAAGAACGAUCUUUGAAAGAUGAACAAAAGCAAGAACGCUUGAGAGAAAAGUUUGAGUAAAUGCUCUCGAUUCUUAUUCACAAAGAAUAAUGAAACAAUUACAGGAGUCAGUACAAAUGAGGGGGAGGCUCUCUAUUUAUAGUUGAGCUCCCCCAAAACCAAUGGCUACAAUUAAAAGCUGUAUUCAACUAGGAUUCUAACUUUACAGAAUUAGAAGCUGUGUACAAUUAGAACUUCUAAGACUACUUAGUCCUAUCUUCAUUAUCGGGCCCAUCAGGCUUCAAUGUGACAGGCCUGUCCAACAGCUCUUUGAAUCGGGCCAGUUCUCGUAGGCCAAAUGAUCCCCAUCUGAGCAACAGACCUCCAUUGGAUGCAUUUGGUGCGCUUGUCACGGGCUUUGAACUGCGGUCCGUGACACUAGGACCCAUGUCUACACCAAAUUACAAAAUUGGGAGAUAACUUCUAACAACCUAUCCAAUUACAUAAUUUGGGGAGUGAGGUAUUGGUCUUAUAUAAUUGAAUAGGUUUGUGAUGAAGUAUACUCAAUUCUAAAAUACAAUAAAAUCCCCCCAAAUUCUGUAAUUUUAUUUUGCCGUUGACUGUUUCUCAUGUUUCCAUAGUUACCACUUUCGACGUGUUUUUCGGUCACAAUGAAUUAAGAACGAAGAUGUAAAAUAAGUAAUUUCCCGAGGCCUUAUUCGUCUUCCUAUCUAUUCACGCGUUUUGGAAAGGCGAAGAAAACACAUAAAAAAUUUAAUUUAACGAUCUAACGUGUAUGGACAUCCAUUAUUUUAGUGAAUAUAUGGGUAAUUUUGAAAAUGAUGGAUAGCUUUUUAAAUUUGUGAGAAUAAAUCUAUCAGAUGGAUUUUUUAAGAAAUAUAGUUCAAGGGGUUAUAUGAAAAAUAAAGAUUUAAUACUAUUCAAUUUUUUUUAUUUGAAUAUUUAAAGUUUUUUUAUUAAAAGUAUCAACUAUUAACUCUCGGUUAAAAAUUUUUUCUAAAUCAAUCAAAUUAUGACACAUAACAUUUUUAAUUAAAUCAAAAUAAUUAAAAUUAAUAUUCAAUAAAAAUAUCAUCUCUCAAUCUUUCUCCUUCCAUCUUCAUAUUCCCCAUCUUCAUCUUCUUUACAAAAAAAAAUUACGAAAUUUUGAAAUAAAUUCUAUUCCGAAUUUCUCCCAUUAAAACAAACAUCAUUUUCAAUCUUAAAAUAAACCCCAUUAAAACAAACUCCCAUUUUCCAUAUUAAGUAAUCAAAUAGAAAAUAAAAUAAAAUAGCAAAAAAGAAAUGAUAAUUAUUUGGUACACUUGAUGUGGAAAGGUUUAACCCAUAAGUGGAAUCAAGGGGUUGACAAAUGAUCCAUAGGGAUAUAGUAAAAUAUUUAAAAAAAAUAGGCACAUGUCAAUUUUUUUAAAACUACAAAGUAUACUGCCAAUGUACCAAAUACUCACCCUUUUAUUUAAUGUUAAUUUUAAAUAUUUAUGCUAUUUAUGCUAUGCAAUUGGCAAUUAUUCCGAGGGGAGUUUGCUCUGAAAUAAAGAAGAUCAUUUGUAAUUUUGUAUGGGGGAACACGGAGGAAAAUGAAAGGGCUUAAUCUGGUUAAGUAGGAUGAUAUUUGCAAAGACACAAAACAAGGGGGCAUUGGUUUCACGAAGCUCGAAUACCUCAACAAUGCUUUCCUCAUGAAGAUUGGUUUUAAUAUUAUCAAGAACCCUAUGCAAUUUUAGGUUCAAGUGUUGAGAUCUAAAUAUAAAAGGAAAGGUCACCUGUUUUAUUUGCCAGAAAUGCGUCAUGAUUAUAGAAGGGGACAGGUCACGCAUGGAGUCAUAUCUGCGAUGGUAUUAUAUGGAAUGUUGAAAUGGCUCGUAUGUGGAUUUUUGGAGAGAUUACUGGGUUAAAGAUUAGGGACCACUUAUUAAUGUGUGCACACAAUCUGAAAAUAUCCCUACAGAGCAUGUUCCUAUAAAAAAUAUGGUUAUGCUGAGUGGGGAGUGGAAUUGGUCUGUGAUUUGCUUGGUUUUGCCAUCCCAGGUUCUUUUGAGCAUUUCUACUUAUAAACCUCCAUCAGCUUAGGAUGUGGAUGACUUUAUUAGAUGGCAACAUGAGAAGAGGUCUGCUUCGUUCGUUCUGCCUACUCCACUAACUACGGAAUGGAAAUGACUAGAAAGGGUAGUAUUUGGCAUAAUCUGGGACCUCAAAAGGUACGUGUUUUUCUCUGGCUGGAUUUUUUAAAUAGGAUCCUUAUGAAUGAGAACCGAGUGAGAAGACAACUAACCUCAGAUGCAAGUUGCAAGGUAUGUGGAAGCCUAUUUGAAAGCGUCGAUCAUGUACUACAUAUGUGUACCCCAACUAUAGCAACAUGACAUUCGGUAAUCAAGGCUGCAAAGAGAUGGGAGUUUUUCUCUAUUGGGUUGGCUAAGUGGUUUUAGAUUAAUCUCUCUAAUNNNNNNNNNNNNNNNNNNNNNNNNNNNNNNNNNNNNNNNNNNNNNNNNNNNNNNNNNNNNNNNNNNNNNNNNNNNNNNNNNNNNNNNNNNNNNNNNNNNNNNNNNNNNNNNNNNNNNNNNNNNNNNNNNNNNNNNNNNNNNNNNNNNNNNNNNNNNNNNNNNNNNNNNNNNNNNNNNNNNNNNNNNNNNNNNNNNNNNNNNNNNNNNNNNNNNNNNNNNNNNNNNNNNNNNNNNNNNNNNNNNNNNNNNNNNNNNNNNNNNNNNNNNNNNNNNNNNNNNNNNNNNNNNNNNNNNNNNNNNNNNNNNNNNNNNNNNNNNNNNNNNNNNNNNNNNNNNNNNNNNNNNNNNNNNNNNNNNNNNNNNNNNNNNNNNNNNNNNNNNNNNNNNNNNNNNNNNNNNNNNNNNNNNNNNNNNNNNNNNNNNNNNNNNNNNNNNNNNNNNNNNNNNNNNNNNNNNNNNNNNNNNNNNNNNNNNNNNNNNNNNNNNNNNNNNNNNNNNNNGGUGGAUAUUCCUUGCUCAUUAUCAGACAAUCACUUAUUUACAUAAGUGUGCAUUGGUGGUUCAGUUAAACUGAACUACAUGAUUUAAUGUGUGAUGGCAGCACCUUGUUGGAUAGUGUCAUUGCUUAUAUUCCUAAUAUUUGGUGAUGUUGAAGUUACGAUGAACUACUAGCAAUUUUGGUGGACUUAUGUCAUACUGAGAUUUUUUAUUAUCUUUGGAGGGGCAAAUUGUGAAGUGUAGUAUGUUGAUUGUUAAUUGUCUUAACUACUUAGUCAUUGGGAGAGUGCAGUGGGGCAGGGAAGUAGAUAUCAUAUUGUUAUUAAUCUGACUAAUGGAUAAUUUCACAGCCUCCUAAAAGUGGAGGGCCUCUGUCUCUAACGCCCAAUGUUGUCAAGGGCACCAGGCGCACUCGAGGUGCUAGGACCUCUAUAUAGCCUGAAGCGCAAGGCGCAAAAAAGCACUCGCCAGGGUAAACUGAGGCGCAAGCAUAUAAAUUUAAAUAUAUAUGUAAAAUGUAUAUAAAAUCAUAUGUAACUGAUGCAUAUAAUUAAUAAGUAUUAAUUGAAUAGUAAAAGAAAGAUUUUACUAUAGUUCAAUUUAUAAAUUCAAAAAAUUGUUCAAUAGUUUAAUAAUUUACUUAAUGUAUUGUAAAAUAAAACACCAUAGGAAUGAAAUUAAAUCUCAUCAUCAGAAACUCGCUUUAAAUUUCCUUCAUCUUCUCUUGAAAAGUUUUAGCUUUUAAGAGUUAACUAGGUUUUUAUAUAAUUAAAUUAGGUCAAUAAUUAAUUUAAAAAACUGUUUUUUAUAUUUUAUUAUAUUUUUCUUUUAAAAGUUAAAAAGAAAAAAAAACAGGAGAAUGGAAUGGCUCUUUAGUGAGGCGUGCUUUUUAUUGAGCCUGGUUUUGCAAUAAAGGUGCCUGAAAAGCGCACCAGGCGCUUGCCUGAGUAAAGUCUCCUCGCCUUGAGGUGGGUGAGGCAGUAGUGGCCAUUAGCACUGCGCCUUAGUGCCUAGGUGCUUGCCUUGACAUCACUAAGGCCUUUGGCUUUUUAUUGUAAUUUAACAUUGUAACAGUCCUGAUGCUCAUUUGUUAAUUAUGUAGUACUUUUUUUUUUAUUUAAUAAGUAUACAGUUCUACCGCUUCAACUUCUGCUGCUGUUAGCUUUAAAAGUUUGUCCGUUCAAGAAGCAGUACUUGGGCUCCUAUUAUAAAAUGGCAUCUAAUUCCUUGUGUAUUCUGGAUAUAUAUCUUUUGGUGCAGUUUUUAUCACUGUUGGACUCAGGUGCUGCUUUCAAUUGUGAAGUAAUUCGGGACUGUUAUGAAGCUUUUGCGUUGUACUGCUUUGAGAGAUAUUUGAUAGCUUGUUUAGGUAUGCUAAGAUGAUCGAAUUUUUCUUUGGGCAUUGACCAACUAACAUUCUUUAUGUCUUGAAUUGUUAUUUAUAAUAGACUGAUUAAUAAUAGAUUACAUUCUCAUAAAGUACCUUUUAGAUCUUCAAUUUCUUUCUCCCCCCCCCCCUUUAGGAGAUGCGUUUUUUAUUUCUUUCUUCUGUUUGCCUUCAUCUGUUUUUACAUUUUUGAGUAUGAAUAAACUGUGCAAAGAAAUAUAUGAGGACUGUGUAUCUGAACAGAUGAUAUGUGCGUUGAUCUGUGUUCAGAGGGCUCAACAGGAGUCUGAUUGAAAUAGGAAAUUUCUGUGUUUUAUGGAUAUGUUUUAAGUCAUUUUUUAUCUAGCGACAUUGUUAUGGAAAACAUAUAAUCCCUGCCCCUUACAAACCUUGAAUUGGUGGACACUGCAUAUAAGAGGUUUUUAUCACAAGUUAGACAUGGAAAUCUUUGCGUUCCUAUGUAGGCUCUUUAACUUAUGUAGGUAACCACUACAAUAGAGGUUUAAUGAGCUAAGUGACUUCUCUUGCUUUAUUUGAAGCUGUUGGGUUCUUAUCUAAGCAUUUGAGGUUUCGCAUUUGUUUUAUCAGUUAGCAAGAAAUCUUUGACUCUUUUCUAGCCUAUCCUAUAGUAUUUAAUGCUGUAGCUCGCCUAGUUUGCUACAUCAUAAAAGGAAAUCUGUUGCCUAGAUGGUAGCCUAUUUGUAAUACAAAUUAGAUGAAACUAGACAGUUCCAUGAUUUCAUCUUGUAAGUAAUAUUAUGUGUACUAGACAGGUGAUCUGACGUAAAGAAUUAUCAUGUGUGGAAUAAUUUUGCUCUUAUGUGUAGAACUUUUCUUUGUAAUAUGCACUAGUCUGGAUGUGUGCUUAGGGACGUAUACUGACAAGCAAGCAACAGACUGCUUGGAUUCCUACCAUGGCUUUGCUUGACAGGGUCAUAGAGAAGUGUUGUAACCUCCAUUUACUUUUCUUACUAAUACCAUUUUUGGCUAGUGAAAAUACAUUAGUGUUUGCACCCCCCCCCCUAAUUAUGCUGUGACCUGAAAAAGAUGGUGUCUGUAGGUGGGGAGGAGCGUACAAUUCAAUUUAUGGAAAGUCAGACGGUAAUCACUGCCAGCACCCCUCUUUUGGAAGAUGCAUAUUCAUAUGGUGUUGUGGAACAUCCUUUUCCAUUAAAUUGGUUCUUGAAGGAUUGGUAUCUUGGUCCCAAGUUCUAUCAUGCUGUAAAGAUUGGAAUUGUUCAGUAUGUAUGUGUUUAUAUUUCUAAGAAGCUUCCAUUAGAUUACCUUCUUUCUUUUUUUUGUAAAUUUUACAGCCUUCCGGUGCUUAUCAAAGUAUCUGUCUUUCAGAUGAUACUGAAGAUGAUCUGCGCAUUAUUGGCAAUGAUUUUGCAAUCCUUUGGAGUUUAUGGAGAAGGAAAGUUCGAAUGGAGAUAUGGGUGAGAUAUAUGCUUUCCACAUUUAAGAAUCUGAAAACUUCAUUGCACGUAAAUAAUCAUCAUAGAUGGCUAUGGAUUUCUUGUAUAUUUUGUUUUAGUAGUUUUUUUUUUUUGUUGGGGUGUACAUCAUCACAUGCUGACCUUACGACUCCUAUUCUCUGGCAGUUAUCCAUACUUGGCUGUUGUACUUAAUUUCAGUCAGACCUGGGCCCUAUAUUGUCUUUUACAGUUCUAUGCUGUUACUAAAGAGAAGUUGGAACCAAUUAGACCUUUGGCUAAGUUUUUGACAUUCAAGUCAAUUGUAUUCCUGACAUGGUGGCAAGGUGUAGCCGUUGCAUUUCUCUUUUCCAUGGGAGCUUUUAAGGGGUCAUUGGCUCAGGAACUGAAAACACGAAUUCAAGAUUAUAUUAUCUGUAUUGAGGUAUGCUUUUAAAUAAUAUAUCUAUGUUAACAAUUCGCUGCAACUGUUACGAUGUUUUCCCCACAUCUUAGUGGCAACGAAUUGGUUAUUCUGGAAACAAACUAGUCUAGUAUCUGAGCAACUAAGCAAUGAUGUUUUGAGGUAUCGAAAAUUUCCUGUUGCUGGUCUCUACAAGAUGAUAUGUUCCUGAUCUUGUUCUCCUUGUUUUGUUCUUUUUUGGGUCCUGGUAGGGUGUUAUUUGUCCUGUCCUCUUAGGCAUUAUUACAUGAAUUUGUUCUCGAGACUGAAACCUCUUUUAAAACUAUGUUGCUUGCAUAUCUAACACAUCAAAGCAGGCAUGGUGAUAGGGUCUUUUGAUACUCCAAAUGUGAGAGAAAGCUAGAGAUAGUUAAACACACUUGUCUUGUUCCAGGUCUGACAUUCCUGAUUUUGAGCAACGUAGGUUGGAAAUGCCUGAAAUGGUACCUUUAGCAUUUAGAUUCGUAUUUUUUGAGGUGUGAUGUUUCUGAGAGUCUGCAUACUAUGGAUGAGUUCUGUCAUUAGGUUUCCUGAUGAUGUGUAGUUAUUCUCAUUUGCUGAAAAACUGUUGUUUCUUUUGCUAAAAUUAUAAUUUAUUUCCAAAUGUAAAGUUAUAUUCAUGCGGAAGGUUUAAAGUAAUUUUUGCAAAAUAGAUGGGUGUUGCUGCUGUUGUGCAUCUUUAUGUCUUCCCUGCGGUACCUUACAAGCGUGGAGAAAGAUGUGUCCGAAAUGUAGCUGUUAUGACUGACUAUGCAUCUCUGGGAACACCCCCAGAUCCCGAGGAGGUCCAAGAUUGUGAAAGAACUACUAGGAUGCGCUUGGAUCGACAUUAUGAAAGGGAGAAGCGUUUGAACUUUCCCCAGAGUGUUCGUGAUGUGGUCUUGGGAAGUGGUGAAAUUGUAAGACACUUAAGUAUUUGCUUGUCUGGCAGGAUACUUUUUCUGUUUUCUUGUUUUCUUAGUUUUUGUUGCCUUGAGAUGAAAGUUACUAAAGAGCAGGAAAAAUAGUUAUAUAUGUAUGUAUGGCUGUAUAUAUAUAUAUGUUCUGACUUUGUCAUCCUUGUAUCGUAUUUCUAGAUUGUUGAUGACAUGAAGUAUACAGUGUCACAUGUUGUUGAACCAGUUGAAAGGGGAAUUGCAAAAAUAAAUAAGACCUUCCAUCAGAUAUCAGAGAAUGUGAAACGCCAUGAAGAGGAGCGGCGGAGGAACUCUAAGGAUGACAGUUACCUUGUCCCAUUAAGUUCAUGGAAUAGGGAAUUUUCUGAAGCUCGUGAGAAUGUUGUAGAAGGCAGUGUUAGCGACAGCGGUUUGGCAGCCACCGGGAAGAGAAAUAAUAAUAUCCAAGCUCGGAACAGAAGUGCUAGAUAGUAUGUGCGGGUAGCUGUUCAUUGCAAUUGGAGUUAACAAAAAAGUAUUUGAACAUGGUAAUUUUAGUGGACAAUAUCAAAGAUGCUUUGGAAAUUCGAAUCUUGUCAGAUAUUGUUUUCUCCCACUUGCCCCCCCCCCCUUUUAAAUGCUUGGUUGGAAUGAUGGUCCCAUUGGAAAGGGGUUGGGAGGGAACAAAACCUCCAUACUUUUCUAACAUUGAGAAAUGUAUAGAGCAGAGGCCCCCCGACUUAACUGCAAAAUUUUGCUGCAGUUUGGUAAAUUGUAUAGAAUACACUUUUAUGAACAGGUGAAAAUCAUGAUGUUACUAUAUACACCCCGUUGUACAAGUAAUAUUUACUUUUUCUUUUUUGGUUUGGAUCUUUUGCCUUUGUCAAAUUUAUAUUCAACUACAGAAACGUUUGGAAGCAAAGAUCACUGCUGAGCCUGAGAGUGGUAGUAGCUUAUUAAGGCUUUUAUGUUUUGUAGAAGCUAUUUCUUGCGUUACUAUGCGAACCGAAACGCGGGGAUAUACGGAGUUACGAGUUAGAUUUUGAGGGUUCUGUCAACGAUGGCCCAUUCUAGUUUUUUCCCCGAGAAUAAAUUUGUUACUUGUUCGGAUUAUAAUAUAAUUAAUAAUAAUUUUAUUUUUUAGUUCUCAGCAACUGAUUAGUAAAAGGGUAGACUAUCCUGAUACAAUCAUGGUUCAAGGGAGGGGGUUCUUGUUUUGGUAAUUGAAAUUUCUUUUUCUUAUAAUUUUGUUGCCUCGUUACUUCAAUUAGUGUAAUAACAAAUCUAGUCUCUUAGUUAUUCAUGAAAUCGCCUAUUUCAUUACAAGUAGCUUCUUUGCAUGCUGAUAGGAUUGGAAGUACAACGGAUUGAUUGUUAUUGUAUUCGCUUAGUCUGUUUUUAUCUACCUAAAAGAAUUCUAGCCUCUAAUAUUUUAUAUACUAUUUUAAUUUAAUCUUAACUUUAAAAGUUGACAAAUUUAACUGUUAAUGUUCUACAUAUUUGAUCAAUUUGAUUAUUAUUCUAAAAAUCUAAAAAUGUAAUUAUAAAAAAUUUAAUAUUUUCAAAAAACAAAAAAAAUAUAUAUAUAAACAAAAAGUUGUUGAAAUUUAUAAAAAAAAAUUCAAAAUAAAUUAAAAUAUUAAAAAAUAUAUAAAAAUUGCUUAAAAUGGUUAAGCUUUAAAAUAUUAAAUAAAAAUCUAUAAUAUUUUUGAGGUAUGCUAUUAUAUGAAGAUUUUCUAGGGUUGCAUAAUCAAAUGCAAAAAUAAUUUUACUUUCUCAACUUUUUUCAAUGCUUGGUUUUUGAAGUUAUUAUACCUUGUGUUUUUACAAUGUGUAAAUGUUAAAGAUUAAUUUAGUUGAAUUUUCAAAUUUAGAAUUCAAUUGAAAUAAUAUGUAAAAUUAAGAAUUAAAUUUAUUGUUAAGUCAAUCUAAAAGAUCUUUAAUAGUAGAAUGGCUAUAAUUUGAAAUUGACCUAAUGAGGUGACAACAUUAAAAAAAAAAUAGGAAUGAUCAAAAUAGGAAUACUAAAUUGUUGAUUUGAAAUUAAAGAAAAAUGCUUAUUCGUUGUUUGUCUAAAUUAUUAUAUAAAAUUAUUUAUUUAUGGAUGAGGAGCAUAAUCUUAAUCAUUCACAAACAUGUUUAAUUGUAUGUCUAUCUAUUUAAGCGAAACAACCUGAACAUAGUAAUUGUAAAUAAACUGAAACUGGACUUAAAUUUGAAGCUGUUAAUAAACAUAAAACAUUGAAUCAACAUGGAUCAAAUUUAACUUAAGAUGUGAGACAAAAAUGGAGGAAUUUUAUGAAGAGUAAUGUACCAAACCAAACUAUGUCUGUGCUUGAAAGGUAUAUAUAUACUUGAAUACCUGAAUUGUGAUAAUUUAUUGAAAUGAUUGCAGUUGUAUAUGAUUACUUGAUAAUAUUCAAUACUUAAUAAUGAUAUAUUGUCCUAUUAUCGUUGUCGAAUAGAGUCACAGAUAUAACUGGCAUGUCAUAGGGUUCAUAUUGAUAAGUGGGAGAUUUAGCACUAUGCGCGUAUAUAUUGUGAUAGUUCUCUAAUACCCUGGGGGUCAAGAACAACUCAAAUACCUUAGAGGGUACGAGCGUAUUCUGGUGUGGUUGGUGGGAUCAGUGCAUUUAUACUUGAUUAACACUUCAGUGUAUUUGGUGUGAUGGUGGAUUGAUCCGUGUAUCCGUUUUUGUAUCCAAUUGAGUUAAUAGGGAUUAAAAUGUAAAAAUAGCAUGUUAAACAUAUAUGUAAUUGGAAAGAGAUAUUAAUGCUAGUAUGAAAUAUGAUUUAAAUAUAAUUUGGUCAGAUGCAAAUACCUUGAGGGUGCAUAGAAAAUCUUAUAAUGUUAACAAGCAUCUAAAUGAAAUGAACAUGAUUGAAUAAUAAAGGGGUAUUUGGUUUUAUGGUAUAUACGUGCUAAUGAAAAUUGAUAUAAAUUUAGUUAUGGAUUAAAUUUGAAUCGAAUUAUGUUAGCACCACUAAGUAUACUUUACUCAAUGUAUGAAUUUAUGUGUUUUCGUGCGCAGGGUUUCGAAUAAAGCUAAAGAAAUUCCACAGUCAAGCAUCCAAUAUUAAGUUGGUUGGCUUGUUGCCUAAGUUAAUUUUGACACUUUUGGUAAGUGACCUAUAAUAUUAUAAUGGUUGAAAUUUAUCUUGUGCUUGCUAGUUGAUUAAGCUUAAUAAUAUUAAUUUGAAUGAACAAAUUGGUUGGUUUACUAAGGUUGUAUUGGAGGUUAUGAUCUGAAAAUGUUUGAACAAGUUUGAUAGGUUAAUUGGAGGAAUAUGUUUUGUGGUACAUUUUAGGUAUGUUUAGGUUUAUUUGGUUAAGGCUUAAAAUACUUAAAAGUGCAGGAUUUCGACCAUUUGGUCAUUGAGUCUUGAGACAGAAAGAACUUGUCUCGAGAUCGCUAAAAUAAAUUUCAUUUAAAUUUUACAUUUAAGUGUUUGAGGUCUCGAAACAAUUGUUCCUAAGCUCGAGAUAAGUGGUCUUUAUCUCGAGACAAAAGAAUAUCAAAGAUAAUAGAUUUUGCCUUGCUCCAGGUCUCGAGACAAGAAUCCCUUGUCUUGAGAGAUUCAAACAUCAAAGCAAAAAUAAGAAAAUAGGGGAGGUUGGUCUUGAGACCUAGUCUCGGGACAUAAAGGACCUUGCCUCGAGACACAUGUAGUGUCUUGAGACAUGUUAACUUCGAAGCUAAAAAUCCCAUAAUAAUUUAUGACCUGUCUCGAGACACGAAAACCCUUGUCUCGAGACAUAAAUUUGAAAUUUGACUUUUGAUUUUGGAUUCGAGUCCUAACUUUGAAAUUAACCUUUAACACCCCAAACCCAUAUCCAUCGCCGAAUUAGGGUUACGAGGUAUUACCGAACAAAACAUAGUUCAUCACGAUCAUUUAUUACAAUUCAUGCACGAAAUUAUAAUGACUUCUUACAAUAGUUAUCAAAUUCAAAUAGGAACCAUUCACUUAUUUAUAAAAGUCAAAUUCAUAUAUAUAAAGCCCAUAACCAAUUAAUUAAAGCAUGCAUUAUUAAUUAUAUUACAAAUACGAACCAUGCUUCAAAUUCAAUCAUAUCAAUAUCCUCUAUUCAAUAAAAUUACUAACCAACCAACAAUCAUCAAAAUCAUAGUACACGUGCUUCAGAAAUACAAAGUUCGAGCUAUGUGACCAUCAAUUACAUGGCAUUUGAAUACCUAAAUAACAUAAUUCACCUCAUAUACCGAGCAUACAUUAAGACACCCUUUAGUACAAUUUCAUGCCUUCAACUAAAUACUAAACAUACCAUUUUCAUAUGCUAAGCAUCAUGCCAAAAUUUCAUAUUCACAACCAAUUCAUUUCUCAAUUAUUUGGCUAGCAAAUUAGCCUCAAAAUACAUACCAAUUCCACCAUUCAAAAUUAAGCUAAACAUAAUAUUUCAUAACCUAAUACAAACAUCAACAUGUCACUUAUAACUAUAUAUAUAUAACCAACGAAACAAACUUAAAACAUAGUCAUUAUUCACCAUAUAGAAUCGUACCAAAAUAACCAAUACUCAAUCAAUAUAUAUUCAUCAUUUACCUCAUUGCUAAAACCAAAACAUAUAACCAUGAAACAUACUUCCCAAAAUGAACUUUUACCAUAACCGAAUAUAUACAAACAUUAGCAUCAUUAUCAAGCCAUUUUCGCAUGGCUACAAAUAUACAGAUCAAAACGAACCAUAUCGAAACUAGCCUAUACAUGCCAUAUGUCGAAAGUACAAACUUUUAAAGCACCGAAAUAGCGAUCGAUAGUGUGACGAUGUUCCUAGACGAUCCCCAAACUCGAGCUAGCUUUAUAUAUCUAUAAAACAGAAAUAAAAACGCACAAAGUAAGCUUUGAAAGUUUAGCAAGUCAUAAGCAAAUAAAUAGUCAUAAAAACAUACAUAAUCUCUUUCAACUAAGCCGAAUAUAACUAGUCUCAAACACAUAUAGAAACACUUUUCUAAUGUAUUUCACUUUGUCUCAUUAACAACAUCACUUACCUUUUUAUUUCAAAGUACAUAUCAAUUUCACACAUACCUGAAUCGUUUAUCUCUUAUACCCAUUCCGUAUCGUAUUAGCUUUACCCGUUGAACCAUUCAGAAUUGUUAAGGAUACUCGAAAACACAUUUAUCACAUACAAUGCCAUAUCCCAAAUAUGGUCUUAUAGGUUAUCACAUAUCUAUGCCACUGUCCCGGACAGAAUCUUACACGCAAUCUCAUAUCGAUGCCAAUGUUCCAGACAUGGUCUUACACGAAAUCACACCUCGGAAGUCCUAAUGUCAUGACAUUUGUAUCUUAUACUAUUCCUAAGGUUCGUACGAGACUUUCGGACGUUGUAACUCUGUCAAUUUUGACUCAUCUUUUCAACAUUUGAUACAAUUCAAUGAUAAUAAAACAUAAUUAAAACAAUUUAAACGUAUUUAUUUGCAUAUGAACUUACCUCGGAUACGGAACGAAUGGGUCGGAUCGACUACUCGAUAACUUUCGACUUUCCCCGAUCUAACUCCGAUUUCUUUCUUUCUUGAUCUAAAUCAAUUAAAAUUUAAUUUAUUUAAUCACAAAUCCAUUUAAUUUCAUCCAAAAACAUAUAAAUGGGCAUUUUGUAGUUUAGCCCCUAAAAUUUCACGUUUUCUCAAUUUAGUCCCUAUUUCAAAACAACACAAAAUACACAUAAUUUCAUUAAACUCAUGCUUGGCCGAAUCUUCCCUAGGUCCUUAGCAGCCCAUUAAUUAAAUUUAUUUUACAUUUUAACCCCUCAAUUUACAAAUUUCACAAUUUAAUCCUUAAUAAGUCUUUUUAUCAAAAAUCACUUAGUAAAACAUGAUAAUCUAACAUCAAAUAUUUAUUUUUCAUCAUCAAACAAAAAAAGCUUGAAUAUUCAUCAAUGAAAUUUCACAAAAUCAUCAUCAAAUUUGAAAAUUAAAGCAUGGGCUAGCUAGAAUACAAAGCAACGAUCUCAAAAACGUAAAAAUAAUAAAAAACCGAACUCAAAACAUACCUCAAUCAAUACUUCAAAGUGCCGAACCCUAAAGCUUCAAAAUGGUUUCUCUUCUUUGUUAUUUUCGUCUAAAAAAGAUGAACAUGCAUGAAUUUUUAUGUUUUGUUUUAUUUAUUACAUAUUAAUAUGCCAUUUACUUAUUUACCCUUAAUGAAUAAACAUAGAAAUUUAUAAUGCAUGUCCAUUAACACUACCAAUGGUCUAAUAUCAUCAUAAGCACUUUUAAUUUAAUUAAUCAUAGCAAUUGAUCACUUUAAACAAAUAGUAUGUAACUUUUGUAUUUUACGCGAUUAAGUCCUUUUAUCAAAUUAAUUAACCAAUCGGUAAAAUUAAAUCACGAAAUUUUCAUACAUAUCAAAUAACAUACUAUAAAUACCAAAAAUAAUAUUAGCAUAAUUUUACGACCUCAAAUUUGUGGUUCCGAAACUACUGUUCCGAUUUAGCUAAAAUUGGGUUGUUACAUAACCUUUAUAACCACGUAAAUUGAUGAAAUAAAAGCAAUGAAUGUAUAAAUGCAUGUAUAAGAAUUAUUUUGACGAUUGAAUUGAAUUUAUUGUGUUAUAGGAACUUGAGUUGCUUCGGCGAUGUAAUGUGAUAUCACACAUUUGGAUAUGACGACCGAGUCGAGUGUGGGGUGUUACAAUUUAUACAUUUUAAUUUUAUUAUGAACACUUUAUUACCUCCAUCAAUUGUAUAAACCAAUAAUGUAGUUGAUAUUGAUAAUGUUGUUUAUAAACAAUUGUAUUCAUUUAAUAUUCUUAAUAUGAUGUAUUUAUGUGUUUAAAUUUCAUUUUAAUUACAAUUUAAUCUAUUUUUUUUGGUAAAAAGUACCAAGGAAGCCCCUAUUCUUGGGUGGAUUGCAUUUUGGCCCCUUUAUUGAAAAAAAUGAGCAAAUUAGCCAUUACACAUUAUGAAACGUGCAAAUUAACCCCUCCGUUAAAAUUUUCUAUUAAAUAAUGACGUGGCACAUGUUAAAUUUUUUUACGGGCAAACUAUAAAAAUGGUCAUCCAACUAUGUCUUUCAUUCUAUUUUGGUCACCCAACUAUUAAUUUUUUCAAUUUAGUCACUAAUUUUUUUUGAAAUCGAAUAUUUUAGUCACUCUAAGUUGAUGUGAGUUUUUUUAUUGGUCUAGUAACAAAAUUAGCCUUCUAAUGUUUACACAUUCUAUCAAUUUGAUCUUAAAUAUAAAAAAUUCAACAAAUUUAGUCACUCUAAGCUGAUGUGGGUUUAUUUAUUUAUUUAUUGUAUGUUUUUUUUAAACACAAAUCCAUAUUUCCGGUUACUUAACCUUGGAUUGAAUUAACAUAGAUAGUAUCCAUUUUGUCUUUCUUUUAACAGUUUUGGUAUAGGUUUCCCCAGUUAGUUUCUACUUUCUACAUGGUUCAAACUACCAUUCAAUUCAAAUUAAACAACAAUAUUAUAUAUAUAUAUAUAUAUCAUAUGAUCCUCUGUAUAUUAUAUUACAUGUCUAAACACGUUAGAAAACUAAAGUAGCUGUUAAAAGCAGAAUUUUUGCUUACAAUUUACAAGGCUAUUUACAGAUUAAUAAUAUUUUCCCCAGCAAAAUAAAACCAAACUCCAUAUGCCUCACUUGCCAUUUUUCUUCUCCUCAGCUAGAUUUCAACCUAUCCAACCGGUAAAGCCUCUGCAUAAAUUAAGAAACAAAAGCAUUAGCCGAUGAACUCGAAGCCCGAUGAUGAUAAGUUUACAAACAUUCUCACCAUGACGGAAUGGAUCUGUUCUAGAAAAGGCACAAGUAACGUAAUCAAUGUCUGCAUUUCCUCUUUAAGGUUGUCGCAAUUUUGAUCUUUUGCCAUGAGGAGACUAAUGAAUGUUUUGUUAUCUGGUACCAGUUUUAGUGCCACCUGCAUGCUUCAAAUCUCUUAGUUCAUCAUGUUAAGUUAAUGACAAUGCUUAGAACAGUGCUUAAAGUAACAUGCCAAUCCAUGACUUACAUAUAAUGUGGAAAUGAAACAUUUCUAGGCUGUUCUUGAAAUAUUAUAUGCCUAUGCUAGAAUUUCAGCCUAAAUCUGGUCUAUGAGUACAUGAACCAAUCGGCUAAGCACUCGGUUAAUCAAGGUCUUUUAGGUUAAAAUAAGAUUUGUUGUAAUUGGCGCAGGUGCCUAAAUACCUUAAAAGCAGCCGACGAAAUCCAUCCAUGCCUAGGCUUCAAAGUAAUAUUAUAGGAUUCUUCAACUGCUUGUUCCAUGUUCUGCCCAGGAUCCUUCACCAGUUUUUGUAACAAAGCUACCAUAAAAUCCAUUGACCUGAAACCGACACAAGUUUAUUUUCUUUGGGUUAAAUGCCUUUCACCCAGAGCAAAAAGCUGGUUCCAUCCAGAACUUUUGCAAGUGCUAAUGAGGCAUGUUAACGAAUUUGUUAAUGGCAUGAACAAUCUGUUUCUUUUCUAACAUUUGCUAAAGCAUGGAUGGGACAGCAGACAUGGCAGACAGAACCUUGUUUCAAACUUCAACUAGGACAAUGAAAAUUUGCAAAAGAAUAAAGAAACAGUAACAGCUUGUCUCUGUUUCUUGUACUAAAAGACAAAUCAUAAACUUCGUGAAGACCCAUAAAAGAGAAGUUCGAAGAUAGAAGAAUACACCAAAUUUUCAUUAAACUUCGAUAUGUCAGCCAUGGCAGACAAUCUCAAAGUUUGAUUAUUAGGAAAAAGUUAUUCAGAUCUGUUAACCAUUUUACUAGCUGAGACUAAACUGGGAUCAAUGUUACUCCGAUUCUUAAUUUAUUUUCUUUUUAAAAAACACUGUGUCUCAUAUAUAUUCGGCAUUACGUAGUGACACAAAUGUUGGUCUAAAUAUAUAAAACUUACAAAAUUUUGAUACUAUAUAACACUCGGCAUGGAGGAGAGUUUACCUGGUAAGCCAGAGAAGGGCUUUACUGCAACUGCUACCCUUUCUUGCAUUGCCUUCACUCUCUUCCUUUUUCAAUAUCUCAAUCAAAUUUAAAUACUUUGUGGGAUCAGAUUCGCAAAGAUUCUCCAAUCUCUAAAAACGGAGAGAAAGAGUUCCGUCAAUGUUCAGUAAUCAAUAAAAUGACCAAAAAAACAUGUCCCUACAUGCACAUAACUGCCCUUGUAAAAACAGGUAAAACAACGGAAAUGAAGACAAAGAAGUGCAAGGUUUGUUGCAAUGUCACAAGGGUGGUGUUCUUUAAGAAUAAAUUCCAUUAUGUUGUGGUUUAUUUUUAACCUGGAUAUUUUGGUGAAUGUCUUGUCUAAGGACAGCCAUAGUUGGGCCUAUCUUGUCUGAAAAAAAAAAGAAAAGAAAAGGAGGUUCAGUAGACAUAUUGAAAACCACACGUUUGAAGAGAGAUAACAAGUGGAGAAAAACUGACCAAGAACUUGAAGAAUCAAAGUACAGACAUGAAGAAAAGGCUUGGUUGGGAUAGGAGCGGCAUCGAGAUUAAUAUCGCCUACAGUUGCAGGCUGAGCUUUGACUAACAUGGACAGUUCUUCAAUGGCGGACCUUAUCUCCGAUUUUCCCUCCAUUUCCCUUUUUCUCUUCAUUUCAGUCUCGACAACAUCCGCAUGCUAUUUUGUUGAUUGAUUCUAGCUAACCUUAUAUAAGUUUUUUUUUUACUUGAGAAAAGCUUGCUGGCAUGAACAAUCAUGGACAAAUCUCUAUCCCCAAACCCCUUCCUUAUUUUAAUUUGCUUAGAUUGUACUGUUUAAUAAUUGUUUAAUAUUGAAUAUGUGUUUCUUCUGUAAGCCGUUGAUAGUGACUUUGUAUUUGACCUUGAAGUUAUCUAUGAACUAUCCAUCUUAAUUACUGUUUUUUAAGAUCUCGAUCCACUGUUUUAUUUAGCCUGAGUUUUGAUCUCAUCCAUGACCGCAUGAACUGUUGUGGGCCCUAGUACUAAUAAUUUUAAUAUACAAUCGUUUGCAUUUAUAUUUGUUGAUUGUUGAUUUGAAGAAUAUUUAUCGUCAACUUGGCCACACUGAGGGAGUAAAACAGAUUAGGAUAUCUAAUAUUGAUCUAAAACAGCCGAUGCUUGUCAACAGGCUUGCCCUUUGCAUUUAAAACAACACUUUUAUGAUUUUGAGGUCUUAACCAUCUAUAUAUCAUUACAAAUGUAUGAUUUCUUACAAAAUUAAAAUUAUAAUUCGUGUUUCAUUCAAAUUACGGGUUGACUUGUCCCAUCGGGUUUUUUUCCCACUUGUUUUGAGAUGAUGGCAUUCUUUUUUCAAUUAUACAUACAAUGAGGUGCGGGAGGUUGGAUGUGUUUCAUACGGAGGAUUGAAAGCAGUUAGUGGUGAUAUUUAAAGUGUUCUAGGGUAUUUGGUCAAAGUUUUAGAAGUAUAUAUGGAAGCUGGUUGGAGCCUUCUUGGAGAGUUUAUGCUGAGAAAGAGCUUAGCAUGGGCCCCUUCGAUAGGUGCCUUACUUUGUAGGGCCAUAGAGUGUUGCUAGUAGGGGGUUAUGCAAAACCCUGGUAUGAAGUGAUUUGAUGGUAAACUUGAUAAUAACGUGUAGAAUUUGGUAGUAAAAUUAUAAAGGGCCGUGCAUGUGAUGGAAUGGACAUCUUAACAAGACUCGAGCCCCCUUCUUCUAGUCAAUGGGCAAGUUAUAAAGUGACAUUCUUUGAGGGAAUAUAUCCCAACAAGGUGAUUUAUGUUUUCGAUGAGUGGGAUACCUUAUUAUUGAAGUUUUUGAUAAAUAAAAAAUAAUAAUUUCCUCUUUUGAAAGUGGAUACUAAAGACUUGCAUAAGGCAUAUGUAAAUUACGUCCAAUGCGAUAUAAAAUGUGGUCAAUGAAAGUUGGUAACAAUUCACAUGGUGGUGUCGAGAGCCAUUCAAAGUGGUUCAUGAGAUUCAAGAGGUUUCUAUGUGAUCUAGGAAGAGUUUUUAUUAUGGAAAUGCUUUCCUUUUUAAAAGGGCUUAUAUUUCUUAGAGUAGGUUCUCUGCGGCAAGUGUCUCAUUUAGAAGAAAUAAUUAGUUGAGUUAUGGUGGUACUCCAAUGUAUGCACUUGGAUGUGAUUAGGGGACUUUUUGUCCUAACGAAAGGUUUGCAUAUAAGGCUAAUGUGAAUAGGCACUUGGCUAUGUGUUAUACAUAUAAUAGAUAGGUUUUGGUGAAGGAAAUGGUUUAGACCUUAUAGGCAUAAAAAUCAUAUGGUAGCUCUUUAGACACAGAUUAGGCUAGGUACCUCUUUGGGUAAGGCUACUCUUUGGGCGAGGCAACUCUUUUUGGAUGAGGUUGGUUUUUUAGCUAGCCCUUUUUUGGGUGAGGUUGCUCUUUAAGUUAGCUCAUCUUUGGACAAGGUUGCUUUUUUAGCAAACCUUUAUUUUUGGGCAAGACUGCUAUUUUAGUAGCCCCUCCUUGGAUGAGAAUGCUCUUUUGGUUAGCCGCUAUUUGAGUAAAGUUGCUCUUUUAGCUGGCUUUUCUUUUUGGCUGGGGUUGUUCUUUUGGUUAAUGUAACACCCCUAACCCGUGUCCGUCGCCAGAUUGGGGUUACGAGACAUUACCGGACAUAACGUAUAUUUCAAGUUUAACAUAACAUAUGAAACCUUUAUAAUAAUACAAAACUGAAUAAUGCACUAUAUAUAUUUAUUAUGAUUAUUUAAAAAUAAACAUAUACUAAAUGAAACAAUCCAAGUAUACCAAAUUUGCAUGCUUAAAAAUCAAUCCAAAGUACAUAUACUAACCAUUCAAGCAUAAUAAAAGUGCACAUUUUGCUAUUACAACUAAAUGAAAGUACACUAUGUUUAUUCAAACAUAAAAUGAUAAUUUAAUAAAUACCUUGAUACUUAAGAAUAUACUUACUCUUAUCAUUUUAAAGAAAUCAUAACUUAAAACUUAAAGACUAAGAUAAAAAAUAACAUAUACAAUAUUGAACAUUUCAAAGAACCAAAAACAUGCAUUUUAUCCAUUUACAAACUUGCACAUAUAUAUAUACCAUUAACCAUUUUCGAAUAUCCAUGUUUCAUUAUCACUACAAAACUAAUUAAAACAUAUUUCGUCAUUGUAUAACUCUCAAACCAUAGUCUAUUUAUGUCUUCAUGAAAUUCACCAAAACAUAUAUAUAUAACUUGAAUAACAAAUUAUGAGACUAAACAUACUAAAUUUGAUAGCAUAUAUUUAUGAAUAUACAAGGUAUCACUUAACACAUAAAUUUCAGCCCAAGGCACACAAAUUCAUAAAUUUUGUUACAUCUUAAACCAUGUAUCCUACCAUCCAAAAUGAGUUAAGUACAAAGUCGAAUACACACCAAAUUAAUACAUUCAUUACUCAUACCUAAUUUACUUAAGUUAUAUCAUAUCAAAUCACCAUAGCAAAACAUAUUAAACAUAUCAUAAAUAUACAUAUAUAACAAGAAAAUUAUGCACUUAAACUAUGAAACAUGAUGCCUAUCCUGAACUCAUAUUAUAGCCGAAUAUGCAUAAUCCCAAACAUCAUUUCAACUAAAUUUAUCAAAAGCAUAAAGACCAAACUUAACUAAAAUGAAUAAACCAUUACUAAACAAACCAAACACAAGCAUGGGGAUUAGGCCAUAUUCACAUUGCUAUUUAUAUGUACAUGUUUCAAAACUAAUUAAAAACAUAAGCAAACCUAUACACAUUCAAUUUAAUAACAUCUAAUCCAUGCAUAUUGGAACGUAUAACUAAUCUCAUAGCCAAAUCAACAAGUCCAAAUCCAUAUGCAUCACAUUUAUUUACCUAACACAAGCUUAUACCGUAAUCAAAUAUGCAUAAGCAUAAACUCCAUCAAAAGAAGACAAGCCAUUUUCACAUGGCUAUUAAUUACAUAUACAUAUAAUUGUUCCAAAAUCAACAUUCUAGCUAUGCUAUACAUGCCAUAUAUUCAAAAUUUACUUAGUAAAAUAUCGAAAGAAACUGUCGAUAGUGUGAUAGGCUUUGCUGAUGAUCUUCAAGCUCGUAACGGCUUCAAAAUCUAUAAAACAAAGGUAAACAAGUACACACACAAAGUAUGCUAUUUAAAGCUUAGUAAGUCAUAAGCAUAAGCAUGCAUAUUAAUUAUGGCAAGUAACAUUUAACUAUUAAGGUUAAAUUCACAUAAUUUACAAUAUAAAGAUAUCAUUUACUACAAGGUCAUACUUUGAUCACAUAUACAAGUUAUAUAGCCGAAUGUAACCUUUCAUAAAUACAUAUAAAUCUUUCACCUUUGACAUCAUAAGUAACACCAUAGGCCAAAUCAUAUAUAUAUAUAUAUGUCCAAACAUGUUAAUUCAAAAUUUAUAUUCAUAUACCUUAAAUAAUUCCAAGGAAACAACCUACCAUGUUUCCAUAUAUACAUUUAACUAACACAUACCUGAACAUGUAAUUCAAUUUCACAUCCGGUUUUCGCUUAACAUUGCCCGUUGAACCGUUCGAAAUUAAAAAAGAUACGCGGAUAAUCGGAAGGCUCGUACAAUGCCAACGUCCCAGAUGUGGUAUUACAUGUAAUCACAGAUCGAUGCCACCGUCCUAGACAGGGUCUUACACGAAAACACAAAUCGAUGCCAACGUCCCAGACGUGGUCUUACACAAAAUAGAUAUCGGAGAUCCUAUGUUAUGACAUAUGUAUCCUAUCUAUUCUUAGGGUUCGUACGGGGAUUUCAAAUAUUGAAUAUCGAUCGAACCGAACUUGAAACAUAAUCCCUAUCUCAAUAUUCACAUUCGGCCAAGGCAUAUAUCAAUUCAAAUAAUUCAGUUUAUCACAUAUCAUUCGUAUAUUCUCGAAUUUAACAACAUUUAAAUGCUUAUCGACUUACCUCGGAUAUCGACGGAUGAAAUUGACUAAUUGACUACUUUCGACUUCUCCCGAUCUAAUUUCGUUUUCUUCGGUUCUUGAUCUUAAUCAAGCUUUCAACAAUGGCCGAAUCAAGCUAGGUUUCUCCCUUUUUAUUUCUUUAGUUUCGGCAAGUGAGAAAAGAUGAUAAUGGCUUUCAUUUUUUUUGUUUUAUUUUAACAUAUAUUAUCAUUAUUAUUAGUUUACUAAAUUAACAUUUAUAUUAAUAAACAAAACACAUAUAUAUAUUAAGGUUACAUUAGUCUUUUGCCACCCACUAACUUACAUAGUGGGCUAAUUGCAUCAUAAAACCUCUAAAUUAUAAAGACAACAACAAUUAGACACUUUCAUAUUUAACCAUUAAAAUUUCAUUUUACGCGAUUAAGCCCUUUUCUCAAAUUAAGCACACAAACAAUAAAAUAAAUUCACGAAACUUUCACACAUGUAAAUGCACACAUAAUUAACACAGAAAAUAAUAUUAAAUUAUUUUUUAGACUCAAAUUUUUGGUCCCGAAACCACUAUUCCGAUUAGGGUCAAAAUCGGGCUGUUACAACUCCCCCCUUUAGGGAUCUUUGUCCCCGAAAAUCUUACUGGUGAAUAGGUUUGAAUAACGCUCUUUCAUUGCAUCCUCUGGCUCUCAAGUUGCUUCCUCAACUCCGUGCUUAUGCCACAAUACCUUAACUAAAGGAAUUUUCUUAUUUCACAAUUCUUUAAUCUCGCGAGCCAGAAUACGAAUCGGUUCUUCUUCAUAUGUCAUAUCGGACUUAAUCUCAAUCUCUGUCGGACUAAUCACAUGUGAAGGAUCGAAUCGGCAUCUAUGGAGCAUUGAAACAUGGAACACAUUGUGAAUCUUUUCUAGUUCAGGUGGCAACAGUAGUCUAUAAGCAACCGGCCCAAUACACUCUAUAAUCUCAUACGGUCCAAUAAAUCUCGGACUCAAUUUGUCUUUACGACCGAAUUUGAGUAUUUUCUUCCACGGCGAGACUUUCAAAAACACUUUGUCCCCCAUCUAAAACUCAAUAUCUUUACUUUCAAGUCUGCAUACGAUUUCUGAUGAUCCGAUGUUGUUUUCAGACUAUCACGUAUCACUUUUACUUUCUGUUCAGUCUCUUUAAUCAAAUCGACCCCACGUAUCUUAUUUUUACUGAGCUCAGUCCAAUAAAAUGGUGUACGAUAUUUACGACUGUACAAAGCCUCGUAAGGUGCCAUUUUGAUGCUAGAUUGAAAGCUAUUAUUAUAUGCAAAUUCAAUCAAAGGUAAGUAUCGUUCCCACGUCCUUCAAACUCGAGAAUGCAACAUCUCAACAUAUCCUCAAGUAUUUGAAUGAUUCGUUCGGAUUGACCAUCUGUUUGAGGAUGGAAAGUUGUGCUAAAGUGUAGUUUCGUACCUAAAACAUCUUGCAGUUUCUUCCAAAACCGCGAUGUGAACCUUGGGUCUCUGUCUGAAACAAUAGAAAUAGGUACUCCAUGCAACCUCACAAUAUGAGAAACAUACAAUUCAGCCAACUUAUUAAGCGAAUAAUCUAUACGAACCAGAAGAAAGUGUACCGAUUUAGUCAAUCUAUCCACAAUAACCCAGAUUGCAUCUUUCUUGCUCGGAGUCAACGGUAAAUCGGAUACAAAAUUCAUCGUGACUUGUCCUAUUUCUAUUCCGGUAUCAUGAUCGGCUAAAGUAAUCCAGAAGGUACCUGAUGCUCAGCUUUUACUUGCUGGCAGACUAAACAUUUCGAAACAAAUUCAAAAAUAUUUCGUUUCAUACCAUGCCACCAGUAAAGCUGUUUCAGAUCAUUAUACAUUUUUGUACUACCCGGAUGAACAGAUAACCGACUGCUAUGAGCUUCGUUCAAAAUCAUUUGAAUCAAUUCUGGAUUUCUUGGAACACAUAUUUAGUUUCUGAACCUCAAACAAUCAUUAGCAUCAAUUCUCAACUCUGUUUCAUCGCUCGAUUCACAUAGAGCUUGCUUUGCUAACAAAUCAUUAUCAACUUUUUGAGCAUCACAAUUUUGUUGAACAAAUAACGGUCUUGCUUUUAAUUCAACUAUUAUCGAAUCAUCAUCAGACAUAGCCAUAUGAGCAUUCAUUACUCGCAAAGCAAACAAUGAUUUUCGACUUAAAGCAUCAGCAACAACAUUAGCCUUUCCCGGACGAUAGUUAAUUACAAGCUCGUAGUCUUUUAACAACUCUAACCAUCGACGUUGUCUCAAAUUCAGAUCUUUCUGAGUCAUCAAAUAUUUCAGGCUUUUGUGAUUAGAAUAAACAUGACAUCUCUCACCAAACAGGUAGUGGCUCCAUAUCUUCAAUGCAAACACAAUAGCUGUCAAUUCCAGAUCGUGUGUCAGAUAGUUUUUUUCGUGCGGCUUUUGCUGUCUCGAGGCAUAAGCUAUGACCUUGCCUUCCUGCAUUAAAACACAACCCAGACCACUCAAAGAUGCAUCACUGUAAAUGACAAAUUCUUUACCCGAUUCUGGCUGAACUAACACUAGAGCUUCGAUCAAAAGAGCUUUCAACUGAUCGAAGCUUUUUUGACACUUUUCUGACCACUCGAACUUAACAUCUUUCUAUAACAACUUUGUCAUCGGUGUUGCUAUAAUAGAGAAACCUUUCACGAAUCGUCUAUAGUAACCAGCAAGUCUCAGAAAACUCCAAACUUUAGAGACAUUUCUCGGAGGUUUCCAAUCAAGUGUAGCUGAAAUUUUACUCGAAUCAACCCGAAUACCUGAUGCUGAUACAACAUGACCCAGAAAACUGACUUCGCGUAACCAGAACUCACAUUUACUAAAAUUUGUAUACAACUGUUUAUCUCGUAAAAUCUGUAACACAAGUCUCAGAUGUUCGACAUGCUCGGUUUUAUCACGGGAAUAGAUCAAAAUGUCAUCUAUGAAUACUACCACAAAUCGAUCCAGAUACCGCCUGAAGAUCCGAUUCAUCAAAUCCAUGAAAACAACAGGUGCAUUAGUAAGUCUGAAAGGCAUAACCAAAAACUAAUAGUGUUCAUAUCUUGUUCGGAAAGCAAUCUUUCGUACACCAGAAUCUUUAACUCACAACUAAUAGUAAUCAAAUCUCAAAUCUAUCUUCGAGAAUACUGAAGCCCUUUUCAACUGAUCAAAUAAAUCAUCAAUCCGUGGUAACGGAUAUUUAUUCUUUAUUGUUACCUUAUUGAGUUGUCGGUAGUCGAUACACAUUCUCAUAGUUUCAUCUUUCUUUUUCACAAAUAGAACUAGUGCUCCCCAAAGUAAAAAACUCGGUCGUACGAAACCCUUAUCUGUCAACUCUUGCAACUGAGCUUUCAAUUCUUUUAAUCUUGUCGGUGUCAUUCUGUACGGAGCUAUCAAAAUCAGAUUCAUCCUCGCCACUAACUCAAUCCUAAACUCUACCUCUCGUAUCGGUGACAAACCCGAUAAUUCUUCAGAAAACACAUCCGGAUAUUCACACACAACUAGUAUUGAUUCAAUCUUCUUGUCCGUCACUUUACUAUCAAGUACAUAUGCAAAGUAAGCUUCGCAACCUUUUCUCACAUACUUCUGAGCUAACAUCGAGGAUAUCACUGCCGGUAACCCAUUCAGAUUAUUAGAUUCAAUCCAAAUAAUCUCAUUAUUCUGACACCGCAAAUCAAUAGUAUUUCGUUUACAGUUUACAACAGCAUCAUGCACGGUUAACCAGUUCAUACCCAAAAUUAUAUCAAACUCGUCGAAUGGUAAUAUCAUCAAGUCAGCCAAAAAACAUGAAUCUCAAAUCAUCAACGGAAAUUCUUGCAAACUUUGUUAACCAAAACAUACCGACCCAGGAGGUUCGAUAUUUUAAUUACAAAAUUAGUAGACUCAACAGACAAAGCCUAACUGGAUACUAAAGUAUCACAUACAUAUGAAUGAGUCGAACCAGGAUCAAUCAAUGCAAUAACAUUAGUAUCAUAGAGAGUGAAAGUACCAGUGAUAACGUUUGGAGAUGCAUAGGCUCUAGCAGGUGCGCGAGCCUCAGAUCUAAUAGCUGUAUCUUUGGUACCUCUUUGACUGCCACUCAUAUUACCCGUGUUUUUGGGUGGUCUACCUCUAGCUGCAGUGUUACCCGAUUUCGUAUUUUACACCAGAUUUUGACCCGUUAACUCUGGGCACUCACGAAUGAAAUGAUCCCUCAAUCCACAUUUAAAACAGGCUCGAUCAUGCAAUCUGCAACUACCAGGAUGUUUUUUACCACAAUGUUCACACUCGGGUUGAUUUGAUCUGACAUUACCCACACUAGCUACUGAGGUAGCUCUCGAGCUCAUAGGUGGUCUAUUACGAUCCCGUCGUGAAUACCCUGCAGUACCUUUGAACGGUUAGUAUCAUCUGGGAACUUCUUUGAUGUCAGCUGGAAUGACUUAUUGAAUGGUCUUUUACGUGAAUCUCUAGCUUCAGAGUCAGUUUUUCUUUUCUUUUUCCCGAGCUCUUCGACUUUGCAAACUCGCUCAACAAGUACCACGAACUCUUUUAUCUCAAGUAUGCCAACUAACAAUUUAAUAUCUUCGUUCAGCCCAUCUUCAAAUCUUUUGCACAUUAUAGCUUCGGUCGAAACACACUCUCGGGCAUACCAACUGAGUCUCGCAAAUUUUCGCUUAUACUCUAUCACUGUCAUCCGACCCUAUUUCAAUUCAAGAAAUUCCAUACGUUUCUGAUCAAUGAACCUCUGGCUGAUGUAUUUCUUACAGAACUCAGUCUAAAAGAAUUCCCAGGUUACUCGCUAUUUUGGAACUACUGAUACUAGUGUAUUCCACCAGUGAUAUGCAGUGUCCUGUAGCAAAGAUAUAACACAUUUUAAGCACUCGUUAGGGGUGUAAGACAACAAAUCAAACACUCGAAUAGUAUUAUCGAGCCAGAAUUCAGCUUGCUCAGCAUCAUCAUCAUCAGUGGCUCUGAACUCUUCAGCCCCGUAUUUUCAGAUUUUAUCAACAUGAGGCUUAAGCAAUCUCAACGGAUCACUCGCUUGAGGUAUAGCAGGUAUCGAAGAUAGAUUAGUCGGUGGUGGAGGUUGUUGUGCAACCGGAUUAGUCCGGAUAUAAUGAGUAAACCAGUCAUUUAUCAUUUGGUAAAAGGCUUGUUUAACCUCUCCCUCAUGCUUACUCGAGGUCGGUCUAGAAUCUACUAGCUUUGUCCCUUUCGCGAGAGCAGACGCUAUACUCUCAACAUCAUCAGCUAUGGCUCUAUCGGGAUCCAUUACUAUACGAAAACACAUUUUCAAAUGUCAGAAGUCAUUACACUAUCGCAGUAUAUAAAAAAAUAUGACAUGUAUAGCUACACCCACACGCGCUACGUUAGUCUUAGAAUCGACUAAACCGUAGCUCUGAUACCAAUUAAAUGUAACACCCUUAACCCGUGUCUGUCGCCAAAUUAGGGUUACGAGGCAUUACCGGACACAACGCAUAUUUCAAGUUUAGCAUAACAUAUGAAACCUUUAUAAUAAUACAAAACCGAAUAAUGCACUAUAUAUAUUAUUAUUAUUUAAAAAUAAACAUAUACUAAAUGAAACAAAUCAAGUAUACCAAAUUUGCAUGCUUAAAAAUCAAUCCAAAGUACAUAUACUAACCAUUCAAGCAUAAUAAAAGUGCACAUUUUGCUAUUACAACUAAAUGAAAGUACACUAUGUUUAUUCAAACAUAUAAUGAUAAUUUACUAAAUACCUUGAUACUUAAGAAUAUACUUACUCUUAUCAUUUUAAAGAAAUCAUAACUUAAAACUUAAAGACUAAGAUAAAAAAUAACAUAUACAACAUUGAACAUUUCAAAGAACCAAAAACAUGUAUUUUAUCCAUUUACCAACUUGCACACAUAUUUAAAUAUAUACCAUUAACCAUUUCCGAAUAUCCAUGUUUCAUUAUCACUACAAAACUAAUUAAAACAUAUUCGGUCAUUGUAUAACUCUCAAACCAUAGCCUAUUUAUGUCUUCAUGAAAUUUACCAAAACAUAUAUAUAUAACUUGAAUAACAAAUUAUGAGACUAAACAUACUAAAUUUGAUAACACAUAUUUAUGAAUAUACAAGGUAUCACUUAACACAUAAAUUUCAGCCCAGGGCAUACAAAUUCAUAAGUUUUAUUACAUCUUAAACCAUGUAUCCUACCAUCCAAAAUGAGUUAAGUACAACGCCGAAUACACACCAAAUUAAUACAUCCAUUACUCAUACCUAAUUUACUUAAGUUAUAUCAUAUCAAAUCACCAUAGCAAAACAUACUAAACAUAUCAUAAAUAUACAUAUAUAACAAGCAAAUUAUGCACUUAAACUAUGAAACAUGAUGCCUAACCUGAACUCAUAUUAUAGCCGAAUAUGCAUAAUCCCAAACAUCAUUUCAACCAAAUUUAUUAAAAGCAUAAAGACCAAACUUAACUAAAAUGAAUAAACCAUUACUAAACAAACCAAACACAAGCAUGGGGAUUAGGCCAUAUUCACAUGGCUAUUUAUAUGUACAUGUUUCCAAACUAAUCAAAAACAUAAGCAAACCUAUACACAUUCAAUUUAAUAACAUCUAAUCCAUGCAUAUUGGAACAUAUAACAAAUCUCAUAGCCAAAUCAACCAGUCUAAAUCCAUAUGCAUCACAUUUAUUUACCUAUCACAAGCUUAUACCGUAAUCAAAUAUACAUAAGCAUAAACUCCAUCAAAAGAAGAUAAGCCAUUUUCGCAUGGCUAUUAAUUACAUAUACAUAUAAUUGUUCCAAAAUCAACAUUCUAGCUAUGCUAUACAUGCCAUAUAUUCAAAAUUUACUUAGUAAAAUACCGAAAGAAACUGUCGAUAGUGUGAUAGGCUUUGCUGACGAUCCCCGAGGUCGUAACGGCUUCAAAAUCUAUAAAACAAAGGUAAACAAGUACACACACACAGAGUAAGCUAUUUAAAGCUUAGUAAGUCAUAAGCAUAAGCAUGCAUAUUAAUUAUGGUAAGUAACAUUUAACUAUUAAGGUUAAAUUCACAUAAUUUACAAUAUAAAGAUAUCAUUUACUACAAGGUCAUACUUUGAUCACAUAUACAAGUUAUAUAGUCGAAUGUAACCUUUCAUAAAUACAUAUAAAUCUUUCACCUUUGACAUCAUAAUUAACACCAUAGGCCAAAUCAUAUAUAUAUAUGUCCAAACAUGUUAAUUCAAAAUUUAUAUUCAUAUACCUUAAAUAAUUCCAAGGAAACAACCUACCUUGUUUCCAUAUAUACAUUUAACUAACACAUACCCGAACAUGUAAUUCAAUUUCACAUCCGGUUUUUGCUUAACAUUGCCCGUUGAACCGUUUGAAAUUAAAAAAGAUACGCAGAUAGUCGAAAGGCUCGUACAAUGCCAACGUCCCAGAUAUGGUAUUACAUGUAAUCACAGAUCGAUGCCACUGUCCUAGACAGGGUCUUACACGAAAACACAAAUCGAUGCCAACGUCCUAGACGUGGUCUUACACAAAAACACAUAUCGGAAAUCCUAUGUCAUGACAUAUGUAUCAUAUCUAUUCCUAGGGUUCGUACGGGGCUUUCAGAUAUUGAAUAUCAAUCGAAUCGAACUUGAAACAUAAUCCCUAUCUCAAUAUUCACAUUCGGCCAAGGCAUAUAUCAAUUCAAAUAAUUCAGUUUAUAACAUAUCAUUUGUAUAUUCUCGAAUUUAACAAUAUUUAAAUGCUUAUCGACUUACCUCAGAUAUCGAUGGACGAAAUCGACUAAUUGAUUACUUUCGAAUUCCCCCGAUCUAAUUUUGUUCUUCGGUUCUUGAUCUUAAUCAAGCUUUCAACAAUGGCCGAAUCAAGCUAGGUUUCUCCCUUUUUAUUUCUUUAGUUUCGGCAAGUGAGAAAAGAUGAUAAUGGCUUUCAUUUUUUUUGUUUUAUUUUAACAUAUAUUAUCAUUAUUAUUAGUUUACUAAAUUAACAUUUAUAUUAAUAAACAGAACACAUAUAUAUUAAGGUUACAUUAGUCUUUUUCCACCCACUAACUUACAUAGUGGGCUAAUUGCAUCAUAAAACCUCUAAAUUAUAAAGACAACUACAAUCAGGCACUUUCAUAUUUAACCAUUAAAUUUUUAUUUUAUGCGAUUAAACCCUUUUUCUCAAAUUAAGCACACAAACAAUAAAAUAAAUUCACGAAACUUUCCCAAAUGUAAAUUCACACAUAAUUAACACAAAAAAUAAUAUUAAAAUAUUUUUCAGACUCGAAUUUAUAGUCCCGAAACUACUAUUUUGAUUAGGGUCAAAAUCGGGCUGUUACAAUUAACCCCUUUUUAGGCAAGGCGAGGCCUGAAAAGGUGACCCUUAAAAUGAGAGUCUUAAAAAAAGCAAAGGUUGACUAGCCUUCACCUAUUAAAAAGUAAAGGUUAAUGUAAGCACAAAAUGCUUGAAAAAGAAAUGUCUUGCGAAGGCAAAUUUUAUGCGAUUUUGUCAAUAAAAUGCAGUUUCAUUCAACUUAAGAAAUACUCGAAAACUUAUAGAAAAUGACACUUAAGAAACAGUUGGAUCAUUUUACUAUUGGAAGUCUUCUAAAAUUUCUUGGUUUUGCAUGUUGGGAACAUUUUAUUUGGCAAUGACAUGGCUUAUUUUUCUGAUUUCCAUAGAUAACACCAAAAUUUUCAUGCAUGAUGAGCUGUCAGAAGUAUGAAGUGGUUCACAUGAAGUGCAACGACUCAAUUUUUAGUGGUGUUAGUAAAUAUGAUUUCAGAACCUCAUUUUCGUAAACAAAGUCCAUAAAUAUUAAAUGGGGGUAUUUAUAGAGUUAAUAUAUUGCUGAAUUGAAAAAUGUCUAAGUGAUUUAGUUGAAAUUGUGAGUAAUUUUGGCUUAGGGACAAAAUAGUAAAAGUUUAAUCAUUAUAAAUUUUUAAUAAGAUUAAGACCUUGGUGCUUAAAUAACAUUUUCAAAUGAUUAAAAUAAACCUAUUUUAAAUAGAUGGUGAAUGUCAUUAACAUUGAUUAAUUAAGGAUUAAGACAUAAGUAAGUAAGAUUAAACUAAUUAAUCAUGAUUAAUUACAAAUUAACCAUGGUAUUUAAGUGAAAAUAAGUGAAGAAAGCCAUCAUCUUCUCCAUUUCAUAACCGUCCACCAUAGCAAAGGAAAAGACGUAAGCUUCAAACCUAUUUUGACAUUUGGUCUUUAAUUACAACUAAUGACAACACUGAAGAGUCAAGAGGGAAAAGAAAAGCAAUAAUUGUCGAUGAGUGACACGCAAAACCUUGGUUGUACUUUUAUGAUUCGAGAUAUAAAUAUUUUUAUUGUGUAUGCAUACUUAUUGAAUGAUGAGUCCUUAUGAUGAAUCUUUUGUGAUAAUAUAAGAUGUUUUGAUUUAUUUGCUAUGGUUAAGACUGAAUGUCGAAACAUGAACUUAAUUGAAUAGAAUAGAAAGUAGUAUGAUUUAGCUGAUAAACGAUAAUUGGUAUGAAAUUGAGUUGAAAUAUGCUAUGUAUAUGAUAGAUUGAUGAUGAAUUGUGAAUAAUGUAAUGUAAAUUGAACAUUAAUACCCUAUUAACUAGUCAGGUUGAGUCGGAUAUAGUUAGCUUGCCAUAGGAUUAGAUUGUGUACGGGUUUAUGUGCUUACGCUCUAGGAUGCACUUGGUGUGCCAGGAUGCGCUUCGAGCGCCAGUAUGCACUUUACAUGUCAGUUUCCCUUGCUUGGUUUUUCUAUUAAUGCACUUCAGUGCCAGUUUGGUGUCUUGGUUGGAUAAUUCUUAUAUUUGUCCGAAUUCGAGUUAGGUUAAUAGGGAUCAUUAAUAAUAAGUUUGAUAACUUAUAUCAAAACAAAGUAAUAUAAUGCUUGAGUUUUUAGUCAAAGGAUAAAUUAUCUUUUUGAGUUUAUUCUUUACUUAUUCCAAAACUUUAUCUAUUCAACCAAACACAAUAAUACUAAUAUGUACAUAUUCUAUUCAAUGAACCAAAUCAAGUAAUAUCUAUUGUAGCUCUAUGCCAUUCUCAUCAAAUAUCAAUUCCAACUUUAUUCCAUUUCAACAAACCAAAUAUGUUGUUAAAGAAAACAAUACCUUCACGUUAUCAAUACGAUGUUCCGACAAUGUUAUUUGAGUUUCAUGAAUAAUGUAUCGUGUUUAUUAUUACUAAAAAUUUUAUCACACGCAUAUACAUAUGAAAAUUAUGUAUUUACAAUACAGAAUUGUGUUUAAAAAUAACAUAUAAUAAAUAAUGGAACAUAUGGUUUGGAACUAAUUAAUAAUAGCACAUGAAAUACACAUAAUAUUAAAAUGGAACAAAAAUAGAUUAAAUUGUGAGUAAAACGAAAUUUAAACAGGAAAAUACAUCAGGUUAAGAAUACUAAAUGAAUACAAUUAUUUAUCAUGGUAUUGUCAUCAAUUCUAAAUUGGUGCCAAGUUUUUUGUGACACUAAAUCAACAACAUUAUUAAUAUAUAUAUAUAACAAAUAUAUUUAUUAAAAUUUUAUAUAAAAUUAAGAAUUGCUUAGCUCAAAACUUUUUUUAUGUAUAUAGUGUCAUUGGGUGAAAUUGAUUAGGAAUAAGUUAAAAUGUAAUAAUAAUAAUAAUAAUAAUAAACCCCCGUAUAAUCAAAUCAUAUAAUUAAAAUAGAAGAAUUAAUUUAUAGAAAAAAGCCAGUAAGUUGGGAAAUAUAUUAAAGCAGUGUAAGAAGGUGGGAAUAUGGGUAAUCUAAUCUAUAUUUAGAUAAUCUUUGGGUAAUGUUGUUGAUGUUUUAAUGAAUAGUAGGGGUUGACUCUUCAAUAAGAAAAUAAGCAAAUUUACAUUUGAAAAUGUAUAUUCUUUGGUAGCUUUACAGUUGCAAUUCCUGUUGGUCGUUCCGCGCCUGGAGGAAGAAACCUACUUUAUAAAAAUAAAAAAUAAAAAACCAUAGCAGUAACAUUUCUUUAAGGUUGAAAUCUUCUUUAACUACUUGUACUUUUUGUAAUUUUCGAAUUUAGUUGUUAUACUUUUGUUAUUGGAAAUUAGUCUCUUUAUUUUUUAGAUUUUAAAUUUUAACUCUAUUUCCUAACACUGUUAAAAUUAUUUAGGUUAAAUUUAGCCCCGUACUUUAAUUUUGUGACAUUGAGUCCCUAUACUUUUUAUGGUUUGAAAAUAUUGGUGUUUUCGUUAGUUUUGCAAUUAGAAUGGUUGAUUUGGCUGUUAUAAAUAAAAUAAAAUAACUCUUUUAGCCCUCAUUAUUUACAGUUUUGUAUCAAUUUGGUCUUUAUUCUUUAAAAGUACUUAACCAAUUACAAAAAAAAAUUGUAUUUUCAAAAAUAUAUAAAAAUUGUGAAAAAUUAAAAAAAGCCUUUAAAUUUUAAAAAAUAAACAUAAUUUUAAAUAAUUUAAAAAUAUAUAAAAAUAUAAAAUUUUCCAAAAAUUCAAAAAAAAGUGUUAUUUACUUAGAAUUGUCCAUUAAUGGAGCCGAGUCAAGUUGUGGCCCAGGACCCAAAAAUUGUUCAAGCCCAAUCUUGUUUUCGACCCGCCCCAAUGCACCAAAAAGCUAAUUUCACUUCUCAAAAAUUCAUAAAAUAUUAAAAAUGUGUUUUUAUAUUAAUAUAAUUAUAUAUUAUAAUUACUUUAAAUUUUAGAAAUAUUUUUACUAUUUAAAUUGAAUUCAAACUGGACCGGCUUGACUAGGCCUAGGACAUUAAGAACUUUGUCCAAGCUCGGCCCAAGUCGGGCCAGGCGAAUUGUUUGGGCCAUGAACAUAUCUAUUAAUUUACUUCCUGAAUGAUAGUAAUGUCUCUUAAAACUUUGAGCUAUUCGUUUGGUCCAUAUUAAAUCAAAUUUGAACACAUUUUUUUAUUAUUAUCGAUCAGAUUAAUUAUAUGUCAAAAAUAUUUUUAUGCAAAUUUAAUUACAAAGUAUUUAGAAUAUUAGUAUAGAUUCAUUUUAAUAUUGAUACAAACUCUAAACCAGUUUAAAUUAAAUUUAAUAUAUUUUUUUUUGUUCAAAAUACACUAUAUUAAAAGAAUUUUAUAUAAAAAAAACCCAUUUUGAAAAAAAUACAAAGGCAAUAAAUGAAGUACUCAAAUUUUCAUUAAAAAAUUCAUGGUCUAUUUAUUAUAUAAGGACCUCCAAUUUCAAAUUUGAUGGCUAUUUAAUACCUUUAGCUAUUAGAACUCAACUUUUGCACUUAAUGCAAUUUAGUUCUCUUCAUCAAAUUAGGUAUGUAAACGGCAAAAUUUCUUAACGAAAUUUUUAUACGGCAUUUCUAUCAUACUGUAGACCAUAUAAUAAUAAUAAUAAUAAGUUUUUCCGACUUCGGAUUUGUGGUCCUGAAACCACUGUUCCAAUUUCACUGAAAACAGGCUGUUACACUACCGGUUGAGUUUUUUAGACUCCGCAAAUGGGUUGAUGGUGUCACAUUUAUUUAAUUUAUUUUUUUACUACACUUGUCAAAUCUCAACCUAUUUGUAGAGUCUAAAAAACAUGUAUGAAAUAAUUUUCCUUUUUAAGUGAGGUUAGAAAUUUGGAUUAAUAAUGCAUUAAACCAUAUUCGUAUAAUUAUUUAAAAUAAUAUUAAAAUCAUAUUGAAGAUGAUAUUUAUUCAUAAAUUUUGGCAAAAAACUAUUUUAUUAAAGAUACUUAUUUGACUUAUAAAAUUUCUGUUGGGUAGGCAACUAACUCAAUAAUGGGUAGAUAAAAUUAUAUUUCUAAAACUUUAAUUAAACCGUUGGUGCCUAUAAAUUAACAACAGGUUAGUAAUAAUUCAAAAAGUGGAUAUGGUUCAACCUUUCUAUAUUAAUUUGGUCUUACAUCAUGCAAAUCAAAGCUUAUAGGUUCCUCGAUUUUAAAAUCUGCAAGAAUUAAAACUAAUUUAAAAUCAUAUACGGUGCUAUUAUUUGAGGAGACAAAUUCUGACUACUGUUUCUUGUUCCUUCUAUGCUACUAAAAAAUUAUUACAACCAUAAAUUGCAGUACAAAUAAUACAUAAUUAAUCAUCCCAAUUUAAUUUGGAAUCAAUUUAGAUUAGAAAUUAAAAAAAAAAAAGUAACCUCAAACUCAUUCGAAUUUUGAAACUUGCAUUAAUUAAAAAUAGCAAAUGAUGUGAUUUGCCAACUUUUGAAGAUAAAUACCAUAAAAAUUCAAAGUGUGAAUGUAAGAAGAUUCUUUGAGAGCAACCCUAAUGGUUUAGAUAACAUCAAGACAUGAAUAGUUAUUGUAUGAUCCACUUGAUGAUGUAAAUUAAUUAUUAUUAACCAUUGAACUGUGGUGCUAACAUGCUGACAGCAUUAAUUUAUUUCUUCCAACCAUAUCAUUUUUAUUUUUAUUGAUUUUGGUAUUACCAAUUAAAAUACAUGAAAAGAAUAAAAACAAAGUCAUUGGUAUUUUUAGGAAAAAUAAAAUCAUAACCCUGCAUGCAGUUCUUUUAUUUUAACUCCUACCUAAUCCUGUCUCUUUUAAUUAUCAUUUGUGCUUAAUUCUCGUUACCCAUCAACCAUGAAUAGAGCUUGCCAAUACGUUUUUCUUCUCAAGUUUCACAACAUUACUUUGGAAUAUAAGUUGUAAUGUUUUUAGCUUACAUUCCAAUUUCCUCAAUCAACUACAUUUUACCAUUUCCAAGUGAAAAAGAAUUUGCAUUAAAAUUAUAUUUUUAAUUCCUUUUUAUGUAAAAUUCAAAGAAGGCUUUCAUUGAAUUAGUCAAGUUGAAAUUUUCAAAAAUUAUCGUGUGUGCAUCUUCUUUUUUAUAGAUUUCAUAAAGUAUAAAAAAAAAACACUCAUAUAAUAAUAUCAAUGGCUUUGUAAAAAGAAUAAAAUCUUAGUAUUUUCUUAAAUUUUAUAUAAAAAUAUAAAAUAAUUAAAAUAUCUUCAAAAUAAUAUUAAUUACUUGGUAAAAAAAUAGAUUUUUAAUUUCACAACUAAUUUAAUAUCUAACUCAAUCUAUCACUUACAUCAACGAAAUAAUGUGGGAAUGGAAUAAAUCACUUAAUAGAUUAAAGUGAAAAUAAAAUAGAAAUUUGUAAUAGUGUGUUCUAAAUAAUAUAUGAAAAUAACAAAGUUACCCUUAAUAUUUUUUAAUAUAAUAUUUAAUCACAUUAUAAAAAUAUAAUUAUGAUUAAUAAUAUUUUUCAUAAAAAUCAUAUUUAAUAAUCUAUGUAAAUGCUAAUAAUAUAAAUCAAUAAUGGUCCAGCAAUUCUCGUUUCUUCAAUUUUUUUCCACCCCAAAAUUCCUCGUAUUCUCCAAAAUUCUUAUUCUAGAAAAACUGAAAGAGAUUCCUGUUUUCAUUUUUCACCUUUCAUUAUUUUUUAUAUUUUUUCUCAUCUAUCCAUUCACACAUCCGAACAUCAAAGAAUAAAAAAAAACUUUUCAGCCAUUAUCAAAGUUUUAAAUCAACCAUUGUGGUUAAAAGAUAGAAAUGAAGACACUAUAACUAUUUAAUUAAGCCAUGUACUAAAUUAGAAAAUUGUGUUGGUGACCUAAAACCUAUUAAACCCGUUAUCGAAUAUGCUGUUUUUAUCUAGAAAUCAAUUUCUCUCCUUCUUUGGUGUUGAAAGUGGUUGAAUUAGUUAGAAGAUAAACUCACAUUUCUCAAUGCAAUGAUCCACAAUGAAUUGAUAAAAUAGGAUAGAAAAUACAACUUUUCUUUACAUAGGGUUGCUUGACAAGAAAGAUGAAAAAAUUGAAAGAAAAAGUAAUUUUCUCUUCACUAGUUACUUGGUAAAAUUAAAAAAAUAGGAAAGAAAACGAUUUUUUUAAAUGUAUAAGUUUGAGCUAAUAUAGGUUGUUCUCUUAUUUUCUUUUCUCUUAUCAUUUUAAUUUGGAACGAUUUAUUUUUAUACAUUAAAAUGAAAAAUGAUAAUCUCUUCUACUUUCUUUCCUCAUAAUUUCUUUUUUCAUUUUUUCAUUCUCUUUCCUUCCAUUUUUCCACUCAAUCAUUUAUACCCAUAGAUAAAUAAUUCUAGAGAAAAAACUAUUUUACAACAAUGGUGGGAAAGGACUGUCAGCCUUUUGAAGCCCAUAUGGAAUGGGCUUUCAUCAGCUCGAAACAUUUUCAUGCUUAGCCCAUUUUUUCCAGUCCUGACAAAAGAUAGCUAAAAAAAAAUUGUUCCAAGUUUAUCUUAUUUAUACAAUUUCAGUGGCAGUUAUAUCAGUUUAGAUUAAAAUGGCGGUUGCCGCUGGUGGAGCAACCACAGCAGGCGUACGUUUAUUUUCAGUUCCUCGCACUUUACCGGCUAUCAGGACUUCAUCAUUCGUGACAACGUUGUCUUUCUCGAAGUUGGGUUCUUUUCCAGGGCGGGUAAGAAGCAAUGAACCCGCAAGGAAGAAGCUUUUAGUUAUCCGAGCUGCAAGAACUGAGUCUCAAGGCGUUUCUCUUGGUUUCAGGGCUCCUAAUUUCCAGGUUUCUCCAUUACCAAUACAUUAAAAACUUUUUUACAUGUCGAACACUUGUAUUUUCUUUUACAAAUAUUUUGUUUCCUUUGGAGGGUAGUUGCCAGAGCCUCUGACUGGGAAGACUUGGACUUUGGAAGAUUUUGAAUCAUACCCUGCUUUGUUGGUAAUGGCCCAUUUAUUUUCUUGCAAUAUUUAUUCUGUUUCGGUCCUUUGUUCUGGUUUAUUGUGGUUAUGCUUCUUUGGGUUAAAAGGUUUAUGAGUUUUAUCCUUUAAUUAUCUAUUAUAUGGUGUUACUUGCUAUUGACUGGGAUUACAUUAAAUAUAGUUAACGUAGGUUUCUUUUGUGGAAUUUGUAAAUUAAAGGUAUUUUUAGGUUUUGGGAUUUUCAAGUUGAUUUAUUGUACAUAGUUGAAGGAAUGUUAACACUUUUCAAGUGUUUCAAUUAGGAAGAGAUGUGAAAUCCCUGCUUGUUUUCUUAAUUUAUUGAUUGGAAUUUCAUGAACUGAGCAAGAGGUGAAAUGAUUGCAAAUGGGGAUCACUGUCAGGUUGGAAUAUGUACUUUUGGUCUCAUUGUUCUUUAUUUAUAUAGAGCAAUGCCUCAGUAUUUGGAGGAGGAUGGUUUUCUUGUCAAGAGAUUUGACAAAAUGAAUAAUUAGAACCGAGCCUUUUAACAAUGGCAGGCAAAGAUACAAUAUAACAGUUGAAACUAACCUGGCGUUCAGAAUUACAUAUUAGAAGAGAUAAUUUGUUCAGAUUAGAAGAUGUAAGCAGUUAUUAGCAUAAAUUAUGAUCAUCUUUCCUUUUUCUUUUUGGAUUCUUGACUAUUGUGACAUUUCUUCUCCUUACUGAAGUAUAUAUAAUCAUAAGAUUUGUAGUAAUAUGUUCUUUUGCAGGUUAUGUUUAUAUGCAACCACUGCCCAUUUGUUAAGCACCUGAAGAAGGAUAUUGCGAAGCUUUCCAAUUUCUAUAUGAAGGUAACUAAGUGCCCUUCCACUUUCUGAGUUUUUCAGCUUGCUUUAUUUCGUGUUAUUAAUGGAACUUGGAAAGAUAAAUGACUGUACAACAAUCCAAAAUUUAUUGCACUCAAUUGCAGAAAGGGCUGGCUGUUGUUGCAAUAUCUUCGAAUUCUGUAGCCACUCACCCACAGGUUCCACUGAUCCCCUAAUUUGAGAAUAGAGAUGCUUUGAAGCUGUUUGUAUGAUUUCUCCAGAUGAACUUUUGUUCACAGGAUGGACCCCAAUUCAUGGCCGAAGAUGCUAAGCUAUAUAAUUAUCCUUUCCCUUAUCUAUAUGAUGAGGUAUAAUUAUCUUAAUUUAUUUUUACUUCCAUUUUUGAGAUUUAGAAAUCUGGCACAUUUCUUCCGGUAUAUCUUUUCUGUCUUUUGACAUUUCAUACAUGUGAAUAGAAUAAGUUUGCUUUGUAAUUGAUUUUCUCCUUCCAUGAUUCUUAUUGAUUAAGUUGAAUAUGUUUUAACCUCAGACACAAGAUGUUGCAAGAGACUUUGGGGCAGUCUGUACACCAGAGUUUUUUCUAUUUAAAAAGGUGAUCAGGAUCUGCUUUAACUUAACAUCAAAUUGUUGGUUUUGCUCUUGAAUUACCUUAGUAGAUGACAACCAUCCUUGAACCAGGUCGGCAGUGAUAAGUAGUAGUCUGCCUUGGAGGCCAUAUACCAAGGGUUGAAUGUUACAAAUUUGUGAUUUAUCACAUUGUAAUCCACUUAGAAGAUUGUGGGAUGAGUCUUGGGGAUCAUUUUGAAGAGUCUUUAAAAUAAUAACUGUAUUGACUUAGUUAAGCUAUCCCUUUGAAACAGGACGGUAGGAGGCCAUUUGAGCUGGUAUAUCACGGCCAAUUUGAUGAUUCCCGGCCAAGUAAUAGUGUUCCUGUUACUGGAAGGUUUGGUUUUAUGAAUUUCAGCUUAAUAUGCUUUAAUAAUAUGAGGACUUGUUCCUGUUGCAGUGGUAAACAAAUCUGCUUGGUUUAAUCAUUUGUAGGGACUUAAGCCUUGCUAUAGACAGUGUUCUAAGUGGCCAACCAGUGCCAUCAGUUCAGAAACCAAGGUGCAUUCUUCCUUAAGUAGUUUGUUAUUAUUAUUUUUAAACAUUUCAAGUUUUGAGUCGAUGGAUUUCCAACUAAAAGUGAUUAUUUCCCUUUGGAACAGUGUUGGAUGCAGCAUAAAGUGGCACCCACAGAAGAGUUGGUAAUCUGCAAAAACCUUUUCCAGUUAUCUGAUGAAUAUAUAUAAUCAAAGUGGCAUCCGCAUUUCUAUGUUUUUGGUGGAAAUAGAUGACAUUGGAACCUACUUAUUUUCCUGAAAUAAAGGCUUUCAUAGUACGUGCUUUGGAUUCCUGGAAGCAGAAAGGUUUAACAUGUAAUUUUGUAUAUAUAAAAUUCUUUGGCAUACAGAUAAAAAAGCUGUUACCAAUGUCGGCAUGCAAUAAUCAUCUGUUAUUAAUUACUUGGGUUCUGACUCUGAGAAACAUUAGAAGACUGAAAUGGUAGCCUAAGCUAUCAAUAGGCCUAAGAUUGAGUACACAUGACUAGGAGCAAUGCACCCUUUCAAGAACACGAUGUUGCCUGCCUGGGCCAAAAGAGGUAACUUCAAGUCAUUAUCUUUUGCAUCGCAACUCAUUUGGAUGUCAUCAAAGCAUGACAAAUUAUAUAUAAGAUGUGGAAUAAUUAGUAAAUUCGAAACAUGAAAUAAUAAAUCUAAAUAAAACAAACAAGAAUGUCAAAACCUGAACUUUUAAUUUAACAUGCAAGUAGAAAUUCAAGGUGUAUAAAAUCUCUAUUUAACUUUUGGUAAAACAAAAUCUCAUCUAAAUAAAACCUUAGACAAUUAAUAAUCAAGAUUGGAAUGCACAAUUUUUUAUAUAUAACGAAAAAGAAAAUCUUCAAUCCUUGCAAAGAAAUGCACAAAGACAAUCUUAUUCAAUUCUUGAAUUUCAACUAUUAUAGUAGUUUACAAAUGACUUUUAAAUUGGUAGAAAAUAAUGAUGAAAAUAAGUCUAAAAUCUAGAUAGAAAAAAAAGAGAAAGGAGUGUAUGAAAUAGUGACGCCACAUCAUGUGUAUUUUUUUUAAUAGUUUAAUGUCACAUCAGCGUUUUCAUCCUAAUUUUUUCUAUAAAAGACUCCUACAAUAAUAAAAGAAGAAAUUAGAUUGAAAUAAUUUAAACAUGAUUACUGAAUCACAUGAUAGGCGCAUACCGCCAUGAAUGAAUUACUUAUUUGGCGCAUGCAUUAUAAUUACUGUAACACUCUAAACUCGGCCUAAACGUUACGGUCGGAUUAUGAGGGUUACAUCAUAUGUGAAAAUGCUAAUGUUUAGCUUUGGUGAAAAGUUCAUUUUAACUUAAAGGGAAAAAAAACAGAAUUGAUUAAUACAUUAAAACGCUUACAUUCUGACAAACUCGUAAGUACUUUGAUGAAAACCGCUGUAAUACCCAAUUUUAGCCCGGGCUUAAAUAAACAAAGGUCCCCAGUCCAUUUAAAAUCUUAAUUUACGUGGCCCAAUUACAAAUGUUACAAGCCCAAAUUGCUAACCCUAUUCUGCUAGUCCAAAAUACAAAACAGAGGCAGAAAGAAACCCUAGCAGCUAGCAGCAAAAUCAGCAGCCACACCCCACACACGUCACAAUAACCGUCGCACGUUCUCCUUCCACGCCGCGCACAAUGCCUGUACCUGCAACAAAAAGAACCACGAGCAGCAAGCAAGAGAAAAAACCAAAAAUAUAGCAAUUUGUAAAGAUAUUUGGCUAUAAAAAGCCAAUUGAUUUAUGUAAUAGGAGUUAGAAAAUUUUGUACUAAAAAAACUGAAAGAAGAAAAAUACAAGAGAAAAAAAGCAAGGAUUUUAAAGGUACAGAUUUUGUUCUUUUUCUUUCGGUUCUUCUACUGUCUUGGUUUUCUUUUGUUUUCCUUUUAUUUCUAAAAAAAAUAAACGAAGAGGGGACGAAAAGGGAAGACUUACCGUUCUGAAUCGUCGGAGGGAGUCCCUGAUUCAGCGACUUCUGAUCGGAAAUGGAAAGGAUUUGGAGCGGAAGAGAAAGGAGGCUGCGGCGCAAAUCUUCAAAUGGCAGAAGGGAAUUGAUUUUAGGGUUCUAAAAUGGGAUUUUAUAGGGUUCAAAAUGGGCCAUUUGCACUAUUGGUCCUUUGUUUUUUUUGGGUGAUUAAAUCAGUUUUUUUUAUAUUUUUAAAUUAGGCAAUAUAUUUUAAUGCUGUUUUAGUCCAAUCCAUGCUGCUGCGCGGUGCUUGAGCGAUUUGGAUAAUUUUCUCUUUUGAUCCUCCUUCUGUUACGCGUGAUUUAAUUUGCUCCUUUUCUCAUUUUCCAUUUUCGAAUUCAGCCUUUAAAUUCUAUUUAUUUUCAACUUAAUCCUUAAUUUGUUAUGUUAAGUUUUUUUAAAUAUAUUAUUAGUAUUGUUUA